rnacentral:lncRNA from 1 species
CAUUACUUUUAUUUUCUUACAUGAGUUAUUUUGUAUUGUAGGCUAAAGCUAUAAUAUAUCUUGCAAGUAGAGGAAUGGAGGUGAAAACAAACAAGAUGUCUGAUCCUUCAUCACCAUUAUUACAACCUCAAACUGGUUUAUUCAUGAAGCGAUCUCUACAAGGAUUUCUACAAAAACGAAAAAGAAGAGUUCAAGCAACUUCGCCAUAUCACCACUAGCUGCAUGCUACUGAUGAACGUCGCCUUAGUUUUAGUUCCAUUUGUUCAUACAUUUUUAUUUUUGGUGUUACUAAUAUGGUAGAUUUUUCCUAUAAGUGAUAUUAGCAAGUGUAUCACUUAUUUUACAGAUUUGUCAAUACAAAAAUUUCUCAAUUUCUCUCAUUAGCUUCAGGUGUGGUGAUCAGAACAUUUUUCCUCUCAAAGAUCUUUUCAGAAAAGAUAUCUUAUACUCCCUCUGUUCCAUUUUAUGUGAGUUAGUUUGAUUCGGUAUAGAGUUUAAGAAAGAAAGGAAAACUUUUAAAACUUGUGAUCGAAAAUAAAUGAUAGAAAUUUGUGUGACUGCAAAUCAUUUCAUUAAUGUUAAAAUAGAUAUUUUAUAGUUAAAUUGUUACUUAAUAUAGAAAUGUAUCAUUCUUUUUUGGACUGAUUAAAAAAAAAAGUAAGUCACAUAAAUCAGGACAGUAGUGCAUUAAGGUACAUCCUCUGGUCAAAAUUAGGGUCUCUGCAAACUUUGAUCCAAACUAGGAAAAAGUAUGAGCCAAACAUGAUAUGAAAUACAUAUUCAGAAUAAAAAAGAGUAGUUUUUGACGGAAUAACAAGACAUGAUUUGGUAGUAUUACCAAUAAUUGUUCAGAUCGAAGCUAAUAGUCUAGUACGACUUAUUUAAGUGAAUGAUUUCUUCAACAAUCAAAUUGGAAUAUAGAGAAACUCCACAACAUGAUUCCCAAUUGGCUUUGCCAACACAUCACUACUCACUAGUGUGAAGAUAUAUAGGAGCAUAUACAUCUGAUAAGAACUUUGUGAUUGACCAACAAAUUGAACUUUGAUGGUGUUUGCAAUCAUAUCUUGUAGCUGUUGAAUCGUUAUAGUAGCCGGUGAAGUAUAUUGUUUUGUGCAUUAAGAUUCAACUAUCUUAGUGGAAGAUUCAUUAUCAAUUUUUUUCUUUUUGCAGUGUUAGGUUGUGACUUAACUCUCUAGGACAAUAGAGAUCUAAUUUGCUCAUAAGUUGAGCGAUCUAAAGAUAUUUCUUUAAUGCCUUAAUGGUUUGCUUCAUCACAUAAAGUUGUUUGUCGACGUUGACUACAUCAGUUAUCAUGUAAGAUUAAAUACUUUAAUUUAAUACAUAAUAUCAGAAUCUUGAAUACGAUAAUCUUAUAUAGAGAUCGUUAGGGCAUAUAUACCUGAUGUGGAAGACGUCAUCACAGAGAGAAGCAGAAGCGUUAGUCGUAAAUUGGUUUCUACCUCCUUGCCCUAGCCUUACGUUACCACAACCAUCAACGAUGGAAUUAAUGUAGAGAAUAUGUGGUAACCGUAAUAGGUUGAUGGAGGACCAAUUUAUAGAGGUUAAGACUUAAUCUGGUACGUCCAUCAAAUAACCAAUGUACGGACGAGAUCUAUUAUUCAUUAAAUAUUAUUUAUGAUAUUACUUGGGCUACAAGUAAACUUGGGCCAUAAGUAAAAAAUAAUUAAUAAUUAUUACAUUCUUCCACUUGGCCCAAUGACCAUAUCACACUAAUAUUUCAUAAACAUUAGUUGCGCAUACUAUAAAUCUCUUCUAUAAUGUCCAUCAUACAUACCUCAAUAUAACAAACUAAUAAUGCGAGUUAUGGUGGUUGUACAUAAAUUUUAAGCUACAUACUUCCUUCCAUAUACUACUACAUUAGCAACUUAUCAUACUAGGUUCAUAAGCUAUAAAAAACAUAUAACAUUAUGAUCCACAAUAGUGUCUUAUCUUGUAAUAUCUCAAAAACAAUAAUGUAUACACCAUUAUGAGAAACAAGAAAUUUAUUAAUGUAUAUCAGAAACACAUAAUUGAACUCAGAGUGUAAAAACAUCCUAAAUGUAUCAAUCAUAAGUACAACCAAGACCCAUUCUUUGAACAUGUUCUUUAAAUGUCUUUGGUUGUAAGCCUUUUGUUAAUAGAUCUGCAAUCAUGAGAUCAGUUCUAAUAUUCUCAAGUAACACUCUUUGUUUCUAAACUUCUUCCUUGAUAGUAAAGUACUUUAAUUCCAUAUUUUUGGCACCUUUUGAGUACUUAUCAUUCUUGGAGAAGAAUACUGUUGCAGUAUUAUCACAAUAAUUUUUUAGCGGCUUGGUAAUGGUGUCGACAAGCCCAAGUCCUGAAAUGAAGUUCCGCAGCCAUAAUUCAUGAAUUGUGGCUUCAUAACAUGCCACAAAUUAUGCUUCCAUUGUGGAUGUAGCAAUGAUAGAUUGCUUAGCACUCUUCCACGAUAUUGCUCCUUCAGCUAAUAGGAACAAGUAUCCAAAGGUGGACUUUCUAGUGUCAACACAUCCAGCAAAAUCUGAAUUCGAGUAUCUAGUAACUUCUAAGUGAUUGGAUCUCUUAUACAUGAGCAUGUAAUCCUUUGUUCCUUUCAGGUACCUUAAGACUUUCUUUGCAGCUUUCCAGUGAUCAAUUCCAGGGUUACUUUGAUAUCUUCCCAGCAUUCCGACCGCAAAACUAAUAUCCAGUCUUCUGCAAGUUUGAACAUACAUCAAACUUCCUACAAUAUAAGAGUAAGGAAUUGUUUCCAUUUCUUUUCAUUUUACAUCAUUCUUUGGGCAUUGCAUGAGAUUAAAUUUGUCCCCAUUUUGAAUAGGAACUAUUCUUGCCGAACAGUUGUUCAUGUUAAAUCUCUCUAGAACUCUUUCGAUAAAGCCUUUUUGGGACAGUCCCAAUCAUCCUUGUGAUCUAUCACAGAAUAUUUCUAUCCCUAUCACAUAUGAUGCCUCACCCAUAUCUUUCAUUUCAAAGUUCAUAGAGAGAAAGUCUUUCAUCACGCAAUAUGCCUAAAUAAUUAGCAAUAAGUAAAAUGUCAUCAACAUACAACACUAAAAACAUAAACUUAAUCCCAUUGAUCUUUUGGUAUAUGCACCGAUCAACGGUAAUUUCCUUAAAUCCAAAAGAUUUUAUGGUAUUAUUAAACUUUAUAUACCAUUGUCGUGAGGCUGGUUUGAGUCCAUUUAUUGACUUCUUUAGCUUACACGCCAUUUGAUCUUUUUCUUUAAUUUCGAAACCCUCUGGUUGGUCCAUAUAAACAUCAUCCUCGAGGUCUCCAUUAAGAAAGACAGUUUUCACAUCCAUUUGAUGUAACUCUAAAUCAUAAUGAGCUACCAAAGCCAAAAUAAUUCUUAAUGAGUCUUUCUUUGAGACGGUGAAAAGGUCUCUUUAUAAUCAAUGCCUCUUUUUUAAGUUUAUCCCUUGGCAACAAGUCUGGCUUUAUAUCGUUCAAUAUUACCAUUAGAAUCGCGUUUGGUCAUGAAGACCCAUCUACACCAAAUUCUUUUAAAACUUUCUGGUAAUUGAACAAGAUCCCAUACUUUGUUGUAUUCCAUGGAUUUUAACUCUUCAUUCAUGGCAUCAAUCCAUUUAUCAGACUCAGUUCUUUCUAUGGACUGUGAAAAUAAAACUGGAUCUUUAUUAAUUCCAAUGUCAAAAUUUGACUCUUGCAAAUAAAUCACAUAAUCAUCUUAAAUGGCUGAUUUUCUUCCUCUUUGAGAUUUUCUGUCACGCCCCGAGCCUACACCCUGAGCGGGACUGGCACUCAAGAACCAUUGCUGGCCCGAAGCGAACCCUUGGCCUGACUUACUUAAUCAGGGGAAGAUUUAUACUCAACAAAGAUAAAAGUAUGCAAUAAACUGGAAUGUUAUAAAGGAACGUAACAUUCAACUUGCCAUUAAGGCAAACUCAAGCCUCAACAUAAGAUAAUGACAAUGAAAACACUAAAGAACUAACAUCUGACUGUCUAUGAAGCCUCUAAACAACUGAGAUGAUGUGGGGACAAGACCCAUGACAUCCUAAUGAACUAAUAAUAAAACUGAAAGCAAUAAAACGGAUCCUCCAAAAGCAAGGAGGCUCACCACAAGACUCUAAGUGCUCAACUGGAUCAACGAUGCGCUGGAUGUUGAUCCUGUUUACCUGUGUCUGCAUCAUAAUAAGAUGCAAGCCAAAUGGCAUCGGUACAUUGAAUGUACGAGUAUGCGGGGGGAAUUCUAAAACAAGACAUAAGCUUGAAAAGAACUAAAGAACUUACCUGGCUCAACUCAUCUCAACAUAACUAAACUCAUUUCAAUAUAAAGUAGUUUAAAACAAGUGCAAUAUAAAGAAACGUUGUGUAAAACAUAAUGUCAACUCUGUGUGUAUGCAAAGAUACAUAUAACUCUGAAAUAUAUGUAAAAAUACAAUAAACUGUGUAUAUAAGAAUACAAUUACUUAUGUGGGAGUUUCUCUAACCGACAACCAUCACGUAAGAGCUAUUGUGAUGAUACAACCUUUUGCCUCACGCUGUCAGGGCCGUCUUAUACCUUGCCGAAGGUAUAGAACCUGAACUACUAAGUGUAUCCACUAGUCUAUGCUAAAAAGCACUAAAGGAAUCAUCUAAAAAGUAUGACCCUUUUCAACCCAUGAUGGCUACAUGGUUUAUGGGGGCUGUGAGUUGUCUGAACUCUCCCUCAUAUCGGUGCUCAAUACUACUCCCAAAAAUAUGAUACUAACUCUUAUGUUUAAAAAACAUACCUCUUUCUGUGAUUUGAGAUAAUUGCUCAAAAACUAAGCUCAAAUGUUAUCUUGAAACUCAAAGUUUCCUCUCUUGCUUAAUUGUGAGAGCGUUUACUCUUUUCUGAAAACUAGCUCAAAGGCUCUUUGGAAAUCUCAGUUUCCUUUAUUAUUUAAAUGUGAAAACAUUUUUAAACUCUUUGGGAAUACAUAGUCCCCAUAUACUUCUUUGAAGAAAUGAACUUCAAACUUUACUCUUUACUCUUUACUCAACUUGAACUUUAAGUCUUAAGACAAAGUUAAAAGCAUUUGCAAAAGACUUCUUGAAAAGACUCUAAGAACUUCCUAGACUUGGCUCUUAACUUUCCUUGAAUUUGAAUUUAUGGAUUCAAGGUUAUGAUUCAUGUUUUCUGGAUGAUUUCUAGAUGUUUAGAGGUCAUUUUGUGUAGUUAGAAUCAAUGGAAAGUGUUAGUACACUUUAGAAGGACUUAAAUAGGCUAAACGACAAAAAACUGGUGAAAAACAACGAUUCGGGCGCAUCCCUGGCGCACCGUGCAAGCCCCAAUUUUUGGGGCUCCUUUUGGGCGCACUGCCGGUGCGCCUCCCCAGCCUCUCUGGCGCUAUGAGGGCGCAACGCGCCUGGCCCUCCUCAGGUGCGUCUGACGAAUUUUUUAACUCGUUUUUUAAUCCUAAAUCAUUUUAAAUCGAUUCUUUUUCUCAAUACUUUAAUAGAUUUAGAUACCUAAAGCAUGUACACUAGAACAUAACUCGAAAAAACUCUUAAAAUUACUAAAACGUCUCAAGAAAACCCAUCAAUCACAUGUAAGUUCAAAAAUGGAAACAAUUCAAGAACACAACUCAAGAAUAUCAAAUUCUAACUCCUUUAGGACGAAAAUCGCUGAAUUGAACAUGUUUGGCGCGUGGGUGAAUGGACCUUACACUAUGUGAUCUCACAUACCUCGUAGGGAUCACCCCUUGAUGAAAUCCACAAGCGAUUAUUUACAAAGACGACGAAUCUUGAACUUUCUUCUCCUUUCUCUUCUUUCUCUUUUCUCCAAGCCGCAGCAUGAACUUCCAAUUUUCUAAACUGACCAAAUUCUGAUUUGACCCUUAAUUAAUUCACUAAAAUGAAUUAAAUUAAUUGGGUAAGGAAAAAGACUAAAAUACCCUUCCAAAAUCCGGUUCUAGACUUUCCUUAUUUGAACAACCAACUUCGAAUGGACAUAUCUUACUCAUACAAACUCGAAAUCGCGCAAACUCAGCGGCGUUGGAAAGAUUAUUCAAAUAUCUUUCCACUAUCUGGAACACACCUAACUCAUCCUGAGCUAAAAUUUAUGGUCGUUUAAAGUUGACCGAAAAUCCAACUUAACAUACUUAACAAAUUUCCCAGAUAUUUAUAUUCUUUCCAAAAAUGACUAUUUCCACUUUUUAACUUCUUUCUAGUUCUUUCUAGUUACAGGGUGUUACAAUAUCUCCCCCUUGGGAACAUUCAUCAUCGAAUGAUCUUACUCUUAGUAGGCUAAGGGUGUAAUAUCUAACAUUCAGCUCAAACACCCAACAAGCAAUGCAAACACAACAUGCAAUCUCUUAAAUUAUAGAUCAGAGUACUAAGAAAGGAAUUAGUACCUUGAUCUUGAAUUUCUCCGGUUUCAAAGAGAUGUGGAUAUAUCUUCUUCAUAUCUCCUCCGCUUUCCAAGUAGCUUCCUCACCAAAUUGAUUCCUCCAAAGGACUUUGACUGAUGCUACUUCUUUAGUCCUCAACUUGCGAACUUAGUGAUCUAGAAUCUGGACCGGAAUCUCCUCAUAAGAUAAGAUAUCAUUGAUGCUAAUAUCUUUAGUUGGUAUAACCAAUAAAGGAUCACCCAUGCACUUUUUCAACAUGGAGAUGUGAAAGACCGGAUGAACCGCGGCUAACUCUUGUGGUAGCUCCAACUCAUAAGCUACAUUACCUACCCUUUUCGAUAUUCUGUAAGGGCAAAUAUACCGGGGACUAAGCUUCCCCUUCUUACCAAAUCUCAUAACUCUUUUCAUGGGUGAAACUUUCAAGUAUACCCAAUCAUAUACUUGAAACUCCAACUCCCUUCUCCUAACAUCGGUGUAGGAUUUCUGACGGCUCUACACCGUUUUCAACCUCUUUUGAAUCACUUUCACCUUCUUCAUAGCUUGAACUAGAUCUGGUCCUAUCAACCCUGCUUCACCAACUUCAAACCAUCCAAUAGGAGAUCUGCAUCUUCUCCCAUAAAGAGCUUCAUAAGGAGCCAUUUGGAUGCUAGAGUGGUAACUAUUGUUGUAUGCAAAUUAAAUAAAAUGUAGGUGAUCGUCCCAAUUUCCUUUGAAAUCAAUCACACAAGCCCUCAACAUAUCCUCUAAGGUCUGAACAGUGCGCUCUGCUUGACCAUCUAUCUGAGGAUGAAAAGUAGUACUUGAGUUCACCUGUGAACCCAAGCCUUUUUGGAAUGACUUCCAAAACUAUGCAGUAAAUUGUGCACCUCUAUCUGAUAUAAUCAAAACAGAGACUCCAUGAAGUCUUACUACCUCUUGAAUAUAUAACCUGGCAUAAUCCUCUACUGAAUAGGUAGUCUUUACCUAAAAAAAGUGGGCUGAUUUGGUCAAUCGAUCCACAAUCACCCAAAUAGAAUCAUGUUGCCUGCGAGACCUUGGCAAACCUGUGAUGAAAUUCAUAUUAAUCAUCUCCCACUUCCAUUCCGAAAGUUCUAUAUUCUGAGCCAUACCACCGGGCCUUUGGUGCUCUACUUUAACUUGUUGGCAAUUCGGACACUUAGCAACAAAUUCUGCAAUGCCCUUCUUCAUACUAUUCCACCAAUAAACUUCUCUCAAAUCGCGAUACAUGUUUGUGGAACCCGGAUGAAUGGAAUAUCUAAAGAUAGGAGCUUCCUCCAUGAUCCUCUCUUGGAGUUCAUCCACCCUUGGUACACACAAUCUACCUUGAUGCCUCAAAACACCAUCUUCCCCUUAUUCAAAAGCCAACACUUUUUGCUUAUGAACAUUUGCCUUCAAUUCAAGCAAAAUGGGAUCUUGAUUUUACUUCUCUUUUACUUCUGAUACUAAUGAUAAUUCAACCCCGUUUAUUACCAUUGCUCAUCCUUCUGUGGAAUCCAUUAGUCGGACUCCCAAGCAUGCAAGUCUAUGCACAUCUUUCGCUAACUCUCUUUUUUCUUCCUCAACAUGGGCGGUACUACCCAUAGACAACCUGCUUAAAGCAUCAGCAACCACAUUAGCCUUACCUGGGUGGUAAAGAAUACUCAUGUCAUAAUCCUUGAGUAAUUCUAACCACCUCAUUUGUCUGAGUUAAGCUCUUUCUAAGUAAACACAUACUGAAGGAUCUUGUGAUCGGUGAACACAUCUACAUGCACACCAUACAAAUAAUGACGCCAUAUCUUCAAAGAAAACACUACAACAGCCAACUCUAAGUCAUGGGUUGGGUAGUUCUUCUCACGAACUUUCAAUAGUCUGGCGGCAUAAGCUAUAACCUUGCCAUUCUGCAUUAAUACACAACCUAAACCAACUCUAGAUGCUUCACAAUACACCACAAAACCUUGCGUACCUUCUAGUAAGGUCAAAACUGGGGCAGUAGUUAACCUCUUUUUCAAUUCGUGAAAGCUUUUCUCACAAGCUUCAGACCAUUGAAACUUCACUGUUUUCUUAGUUAACUUGGUCAAAGGGGAUGAAAUAAAUGAGAACCCCUCUACGAACCUUUUAUAAUAGCCAGCUAAACCCAAGAAACUCCUAAUAUCAAUUGGAGAUGUGGGUCUAGGCCAAUUUUGCACUGCCUCAAUUUUCUGAGUAUCAACUUUAGUUCCCUCUAUAGACACAAUGUGGCCUAAGAAUGCCACAGACUCAAGCUAAAACUCACACUUAGAGAACUUGGCAUACAACUCUCUAUCUUUUAGAGUCUGGAGGACUAUUCUGAGAUGACUAACAUGAUCUUCUUCAUUCCUCGAAUAGAUUAGUAUGUCAUCAAUGAAGACGAUAACAAACAUAUCUAAAUAAGGUUUGAAUACUCUAUUCAUAAGGUCCAUGAAUGCUACAGGCGCAUUGGUCAAAACCAAAGGACAUGACUAAGAACUCAUAAUGACCAUAACGGGUCCUGAAUGCGGUCUUUGGAAUAUCACACUCCUUUACUCUUAACUAAUAGUAGACAGAUCUGAGAUCUAUCCUAGAGAAACAGGUGGCAGCCUGAAGUUGAUCGAAAAGAUCAUUAAUUCUCGGAAGAGGAUACUUGUUCUUGUUGGUAACCUUGUUCAACUGAUGGUAAUAUAUACACAUUUGAAGGGAACCAUCUUUCUUUAUCACAAAUAAUACCGUAGUGCCCCAAGGUGAGACACUUGGUCGAAUAAAGCCCUUAUCAAGGAAAUCUUUCAACUGUUCUUUAAGCUCUUUCAACUCUAUUGGUGCCAUUCUAUAUGGCAGAAUAGAUCUUUCAAUUGUUCCUUAAGUCUUAAAUCUAUGUUAAGUUUAAGAUAUACUUGACCAACAAAAAUUAGAAAUACACCGUGCCAUUAAUGAUCUCCUUAGUGGUACAUCACACCUUAAAAUUAAUAACAAUUUUAUGUAUAUAUAUACAUAUUUGACUUAACUUGUUAAAUGGAAUAGAAAAUCCUACAAAAAAAAUAAAUUGUCCGGCGGUUAUCUACCGUGGCCCAAUUACAUGAAAUUAACAAUCUCAUAAUAACACAAGAGUAUAAUAGGAAAGAAAUUUUUUGUAGAGUUUUAAAUCAAACACAAGAUUAAGUGGAAAGUAAUGAACCAAACACUUGGCAAAAAAUAAUCCCUGCACUACUAAUCUCUGCAUUACUAAUCUCUACGUUACUAAUCCCUACAUUACUAAUUCCUGCAUUAUCAAUGUUUGUACCAAACGAUCCCUAAGUCUUAAGACAAAGUUAAAAGCAUUUGCAAAAGACUUCUUGAAAAGACUCUAAGAACUUCCUAGAUUUGGCUCUUAACUUUCCUUGAAUUUGAAUUUAUGGAUUCAAGGUUAUGAUUCAUGUUUUCUAGAUGAUUUCUAGAUGUUUAGAAGUCAUUUUGAGUAGUUAGAAUCAAUGGAAAGUGUUAGUACCCUUUAGAAGGACUUAAAUCGGCUAAAUGAUGAAAAAUUGGUAAAAAAUGACGAUCUAGGCGCGCCGCGCCAUCCCCACUUUCUGGGGAUCCUUUUGGGCGCGCCGCCCCAGCCUCUCUGGCGCUAUGGGAGUGCGACGCACAUAGCCCUCCCCAGGUGCAUCUGAUGAUUUUUUCAACUCAUCUUCUGAUCCUAAAUCAUUUUAAAUCAAUUCUUUUUCUCAAUACUUUCUUAGAUUCAGAUACCCAAAACAUGUACACUAUAAUCUAACUCGAAACAACUCUUAACAUCGCUAAAACGUCUCAAUAAAACCCAUCAAUCACAUGUAAGUUCAAGAAUGGAAACAAUUCAAGAACACAACUCAAGAAUAUCAAAUUCUAACUCUUUCAGGAUGAAAAUCGCUGAAUUGAACAUGUUUGGCGCGUGGGUGAUGAGUCCACAAAUUGGACUCAUUUAGGGCUAUAUUUUAAUAGAAAUUGUGUCAUCAAAUGCUUUUUUAAUCUCAAUAUCUGAUGAAAACCCUUAAGUUUUAGAUAUUUGAUGUUUGAAGGAAAGCACAAACACUACGUUGCAAAAAGCAACGAAAAGGCUGAGAAGAACGAAGAAAUGAAGGCCUGAGGAUCGCCGAGUUCACUUGGCGAGUCGCCGAAGAGUCUUACUUCGCCUUUUGCUCCAGUGUGCUGAGCUAUGAAGGAAAAGAUCAAGUCGGCGGAGAUAGGGAGCAGUUGUCGCAUCGCCGAAAAGUUCCGCGAAACAGUACCACGUCGCCCAAUGUCCCAGAGCACGACGAUGCUGAAGGCUGGUGCAAGAAGGCGAUGAACUACACCAAAGGGCGAAUCACCAAGUUGAUCGGUGAUUCCGACUAACGACGCCGAAUGAUCCGCUGCAGCACAAAUCUAUUAAAACUAUAAAUAUUUUUUAGAUUUGUAGUUUUAGGAGUUGAACAAUUAUUAUAAUUUUCAUAUCGAAUAGUACUUUUUAGUAUUUUUGAUCUAAGUUUGAGAGGGUUUUGAAGACUUAAAGAACAAGAGGGUUUCAUCUCCAAGGAUUUGGACUUGGGUCUCUUGGAUUCUUCNNNNNNNNNNNNNNNNNNNNNNNNNNNNNNNNNNNNNNNNNNNNNNNNNNNNNNNNNNNNNNNNNNNNNNNNNNNNNNNNNNNNNNNNNNNNNNNNNNNNNNNNNNNNNNNNNNNNNNNNNNNNNNNNNNNNNNNNNNNNNNNNNNNNNNNNNNNNNNNNNNNNNNNNNNNNNNNNNNNNNNNNNNNNNNNNNNNNNNNNNNNNNNNNNNNNNNNNNNNNNNNNNNNNNNNNNNNNNNNNNNNNNNNNNNNNNNNNNNNNNNNNNNNNNNNNNNNNNNNNNNNNNNNNNNNNNNNNNNNNNNNNNNNNNNNNNNNNNNNNNNNNNNNNNNNNNNNNNNNNNNNNNNNNNNNNNNNNNNNNNNNNNNNNNNNNNNNNNNNNNNNNNNNNNNNNNNNNNNNNNNNNNNNNNNNNNNNNNNNNNNNNNNNNNNNNNNNNNNNNNNNNNNNNNNNNNNNNNNNNNNNNNUUAGAACUAAAUUUUAUUUUUCUAUUAAUUCUCAAAACCACUCUCUUGGGAACGAUCCCAACCCUUGGUUGGGUUACUAAACUAUUGUACGAUCGUAGACACUUGCAUCGGAAGUUAUGUCUUGAUUAUGCAAACUUCAAAAUGGCGCUGCUGCCGGGGAGUGGUGUUACUUGAGAAUUUUUAGAUUAGUAGAAUUUUUGUUCUUCUUAGUUGUAGUUUACUCACCUAAUUUGUGGUUUUAUUUUAUUUUCUUGUGUGAAUAUUUAAAAAAGCAUGAGUGUUAACAGUAGCAACGAUAGCCAGGUGGGCCACCAGGAUCUUAUUGGUAAUCUCAACGAUUUCCAAGAGCCCAACAUCAAUGACCCUCAUCUCAUGGGAGGUGUUGGAGCCAUCCGUGUAACCCCAGCCGAGGGAACCGCAGUGUUGCACAUAACGAGCAUCAUGUUGCAACUCUUGCAACUAAAGGGACUUUUCAGCGAACUGGCUCAUGAGGAUCCUCACGAGCAUCUUCAAAACUUUGUAGAUGUGUGCAGACCAUUCUCGUUCAAAAACAUCUCCCAGGAGUUGGUCCGGUUGAGGCUAUUCCUCUUCUCGUUGAUGGGAGAGGCGUGCAAAUGGCUAGGCGAGUUGCCACGAGAAUCCAUCACUUCUUGGGAGGAAUUGGUAUCCGCAUUUCAUGUGCAAUUUUUCCCUCCCUCGAAGAUGAUGGUACUUAGGGAUAUCAUCCAUGUCUCGAAGGAGAGUCUCUGCACGAAACUUGGCUGCAGUUCAAAAAGUUGGUGAUACAAUGCCCAACCCAUGGUUUGCCUGAUAACGUGUUAGUUCAGUACUUCUAUCAGAGUUUGGACUCGGUAAACAAAGGUGUCGUCGACCAACUCUUGCCGGGAGGCUUAAUGCAGCAGUCGUAAGCAGUAGCAGCCCAACUUUUAGAUAGCAUGGCAACCAUCAACAGAGAAUGGUACACUCGUGAGGACCAAGUCUCCUCUCUCACCUUCAACCUAUCCAAGGAACAGAUUGAAAAAGACAAUGAGAGAGACCAAAACAUGGCCAAAAUGAUGACGCAACUUGAUAUUUUAUCCAAAAAUGUCAUGGGGGCUGGUGCCCGUGGUGUCAACCCUAUGGGGGUUGGGUGUGCUAAUCUUGAGGAGAUGAAGUUUGAAGCCUUGUAUAACGAUAAGGUAAAUUUUCUAGCCAACCAAGGCGAUGGCUACAGCUCAAAUUACCUAAGGCAUGGUGGUAACCAAGGUUGGGCUAGAGAUGAAGGCUGGAAGGACCGAGAUCGUGAAUGGAGGGACCGUAAUCCGAAUUGGAAAGAUGGGGAGAAGGACAUAUAUGUGCCUCCCCAUGAGCGCCAGAAACCCAAGGAUUCAGAAGGAGGUAGGUCUAAGGAUAUGCUCUCAUGCAUCUUCAACAAAGUUGAAGGGUUAAACAAAAUGCUAAAAGGAAUGAAAGAACAUGUAUCUACCCUUAGCCAAACCAUCACCUCCUAUUCAGUUUCAAUCAAGAAGUUAGAAACCCAGAUGGGUCAUAUCUCGUCUCACCUAAAUUCGAGAUAGGAAGGGGGUUUGUCGAGUGAUACUAUGGCUAACCCCAAGAAUGAGGUUUGAAGGUGGACUUGCAUCGUGCCACGACGUUAACUAAGGCGUUGUUUGGGAGGCAACCCGAAACCCUUUAUUGCUUUAUGUUGCUUUGAUAAAAUAAUGGUGUGUUCAUUGUGCAGAUGGAAGUGUGAAGAGUGAACGAAAAGUGCAAAUUGGUGAGCAACAGGUCUAAUCAGCGAAUCACCGAACGGUUUGGCGACUCCGAACUAGACCAUCGUUAGACUCAAGAUCAUCUUGCAUUGGAGUCUGUAAAACUCGGUGAGCACAUGAAAUUAUUUGUGAACCGCCGAUCGUGUCGGCGAUCCCGACAGAGACCGCCGUUUGGACUGGCACAUAACAUGGAGGUUCUGUAAACUUCAGCGGGGAAAAUGACUAUUUGGUAUUACACCGAAUAGAUCAGCGAUCGGGACUAAUGUUGCCGAACGGGUGAAAACAGGACGGUUUUGCAAGCCAAAGGUUUACAAGUUUCAAAUUCAUUCACUUUGCCUCACUUUUUGUCUUCCCAAACUCACACCCGCAUGCUAGAUCCUAUAUUUUUGCAUUUCUAAAGUAUUUUUAUUGUCGAAUUAUGCUACGAGUUGGAUCACAUUGCUUCCUAGCAUCUCAAUAUCCAUUUGAUCGGCAUAAAAGGUUGGUAAUUCAAACUCCGAGUUCCUUUCGUCGACAGUUGUACUCAAAUGAAAUGGCAUUACUUUGAUGAUGUGUGUUGGGCCUAUCUGGUAGGAUUAGAAUAUUUGUUUGCCUGUUAGGUUCACAAAUUUUGCCCGUACUAAGUUAAAUAGUUAAUUCCUGAAAGUUGCGCUUUAAAUUGGAUGAAAAUCGUAGGUUGUGCAUGAUUGUCACUGGGUUUAAGCCUAAUUUGAGUUGUUCAUGCCUUAAUUUUGUUUUCGGGGGUUGAAGGGUUGGAUUCAAGAAAAUGGGUUGAAACUAGGAACGUGAGCCAUUUGGCGAGUUAAGUCGAGCUCGCCAAACUACUCGGCGAUUCGCCUAACAUCCCCAUUUCGCCGUUAUUUUAAUGCCAUAUGUAAUGUUUAGUUCUGUAACUUUCUGCGAGAAGCCUUUGAUCGCCAAAAGCAUUCGGCGACUUGCUAAAAGACUUCUUGUUCACCCUUUGUCUGCACCCUUGUAUUCUCUAUGUACUGCACUCGGCGAACCGCCGAAGUAGCUGCGCGCUUCACCAACUGGUUCAACAAAGUGAUUUUGCAAUUGAACUGCCUUGCUUUUGUCUGAAUACUUUCUAACUUUUGCUCAAAGUUUUGCAGAAAUGGCUAAAACCAAAAGUAGCUGGAAGAGAUAUGCCACCCCAACAAACAAGAGCAAAAAAUUUCAGGAAAAAUACAAAGGCAACAAAUCCUCCCAAAACAGAUAAUGAGGACAAGAAGCCCAGUGCCAGCAAGAGAACAAAUCCCCGAGACCCCACUAUUCCCUCAUGGAGACGUGGAUUCUUCACAACUAUCCAUUCCUUUCUAGAGGCUUAUGACUUGGACAAUCUUAGUAAGUCAGCUGCCGCUGAAUCUUCUAAAGAAGCUCCGAGGGCCAUUAUCAAGUUCCAGGCUGACACAUCGGGCACUGAUUCCCAGAUAGAUGGAGCGACUGUGUAGCCAGAAUCCCCUCUUUACCUCCGUCUCUGUCUUUCUUUAUUUUACCUUUUGGAUUCUGUGUAAAUUGCAUUUGAGGACAAAUUGCUUUUAUUUGUAGUGGAGUGAGGCCCACCUUUGUGAGCUAUUUGAUGUUUGUAUUUUGUUUAUAUUUGGGUUGUUCAAUCUAAAAUUGUGUUAAUACUGCUUUUCUGUAGAUAUUUGAUCUUGAAGCUCUUUUUAUUUUAUAUUGCAAAAUGAUUUGGACCCUUUCUGAAAUUUUUUGUAUUUUUCGCACAUUUUCGCCACCCUUUAUAUGCUGUUGAAUGUGGCUUUUCCUUGGAGAAUUUGAGUCUCGGUUUCGAUCAAUACCGAGGACUUGAAUAGUGCUCUCAAUCGAACGAACAUGAAUGCGCGACUACAAUGAGGCCAAAUGAAGUUGCAUAAACAAUAUGUGAACUCUUUGCAUCUCGUUAUGACUAGCCUUGUAUCAAAUUGAGUCUCUUGUGAUGAUCAUUGCACAUUAGCGAAAGUGUGGAGUCUUGUUUGACUUAUAGUGUCAAUGCCUAGUGUGAUGAGCUUACCUGUGAACUAUGCAUGAUAGAUCCUAGAAUUUGCCCCGUUGGUCCGGUCAACUAAGUGAUNNNNNNNNNNNNNNNNNNNNNNNNNNNNNNNNNNNNNNNNNNNNNNNNNNNNNNNNNNNNNNNNNNNNNNNNNNNNNNNNNNNNNNNNNNNNNNNNNNNNNNNNNNNNNNNNNNNNNNNNNNNNNNNNNNNNNNNNNNNNNNNNNNNNNNNNNNNNNNNNNNNNNNNNNNNNNNNNNNNNNNNNNNNNNNNNNNNNNNNNNNNNNNNNNNNNNNNNNUUUCUUUAUCCAUCACCCAUAAUCCUCAUGAAGUUGUGGUUAGUUGAAUAGCCAACUUAGGCCAAAAGCCUAAGUUGGGGGUGUGGUGAAAAGAAAAGGCAAAUCAAGAAGUGCAAGAAAGUCCUUCUUACCCAUGGUUUUGAGAAAAAUGGAACCCCUCUAUAUAUAUAAAAGAAUGAAAAAUAAAGUUGUGGAAUAAAGUACAAAAGAAAUGGGGUCUCCAAAUAAUUCACGGGAAGUGAAUAAUAGGAUGACUUAUGAGCACUAAAGAGAAUGAUAACAAAAGGAAAGGAAGUGUUGUGAGCACCACAUUUCAUGAGGAUGAAAGUCACUGAGCCUAAAUGACCAUACCUUUACACUCAGCCCCGUUACAAGCCUUGUUAAGACCUUUGUGAUCUUGAGAAAGUCGAAACAAAUGUUGAUUGAAAAAUACGGGCAAACCUAUGGAUGAAAUUAUGCAUUAUGCUCUUCUUUGUGAGUGUGAGAGUUGCAUCUGAUUCCAAAGCUUUAAACUGUGAACCUAUUGUGUGAAUAUGAAAUCAUUCUUUGUGUGAGUGCAUUUGAACACUAUAGUUGAGCUUGAACUUGCAUUUGAAGCAAGUAUUGUGAGCAUGAGAUUCGUUGAUAUUGGUGAGUCACAAUUUGAAUCUUUAAGUACACAUUUGAUCUUUGCAUAAGUAAAUUGAGUCUUGUUGUGUGCAUUCAUGAUUGAGUCUUGUGCAACACUAUUCGAGACACCCUUUUAAACGGCUAAACUUGAGUUUGCUUGAGGACAAGCAAAUGUUUAAGUUGGGGGUGUUGAUGAGUCCACAAAUUGGACACAUUUAGGGCUAUAUUUUAAUAGAAAUUGUGUCCUCAAAUGCUUAUUUUAUCUCAAUAUCUAACGAAAACCCUUAAGUUUUAGGUAUUUGAUGUUUAAAGGAAAACAUGGACACUACGUCACAAAAAGGAAUGAAAAGGCUGAGAAAAAUGAAGAAAUGAAGGCCUGAGGAUCGCCGAGUCCACCUGGCAAGUCGCCAAAGAGUCUUACUUCGCCUUUUGUUCCAGUGUGCUGAGGCUUUUAUGAAAGGAUCAAGUCGGCGGAGAUAGGGAGUAGUUAGCCGCAUCGCCGAGAAGUUCCGCGAAGCAGUACCAUGUCUCCCAAUGACCCAGAGCACGAUGAUGUUGAAGGCUAGUGCAAGAUGGCGAUGAACUACACCAAAGGGCGAAUCGCCGAGUUGAUCGGCGAUUCCGACUAACGACGCCGAAUGAUCCGCUACAGCACAAAUCUGUGAAAACUAUAAAUACUAGUUAGAGUUGUAGUUUUAGGAGUUGAACAAUUAUUAUAAUUUUCAUAUAGAAUAGUACUUUUUAGUAUUUUGCUCUAAGUUUGAGAGGGUUUUGAAGACUUGAAGAAAAAGAGGGUUUCAUCUCCAAGGAUUUGGACUUGGGUCUUUUUUAUUCUUCAUUCUUGGCCUGUAACAAGACUUAAAUCUUCAUACCCAUUUGAAUGCAAGCUCAUUUAGGAAUAAAUUUUUAUCUCUUGAUGUGUGGCUAAAAACCUCAAUUCUUGGGGUGUGAUUUAGCGAAUAUGGGUUAAGUUAAUUGUUGGGUCUUGCUUGUUGAUAGUUUAGUCAUAGUUUAAUUAUGAUUUCGUUUAGUGGUUGUGGGUGAACUUAAUGAGGUUGUAGUUGCAAAAUAUAAUCUCAUAUAUGUGUUUUCGGCUUGCUCGAGAGAGAGGUCGUAAAACUAAGACCAUUAAAUUGAUGGUUAGUGCGAGUGGGUCGACAUGAGGUUCAGCUUGAGAGAGUAAACCCUAGUCCCAUGUCCACACACUCAGCUCAAGAGAGUGAGUGGGUUAAGGCGUAGGCUGGUCUUCACGCGGCAAGUGGGUGUCCGAGAGAAACGCUAUUUGAAACAGGGUAAGUUGCUCGAGAGAGAGCUUAUACCCCUUAAAGUCUAGCCUAGUCACAAUUAAUCUAUGAAUCUUCUAUCGAAAGCAUGUACCCAAUAAUCUAGCUUAACCCGUAUUCCCAUCACAUCCCAAGGUUCCCCUCACAUUACUUAGAAACCCUUGUUUAUUUUGUUGUUUUUACCUUACUUGUGACAAAACCCCCCAUUGUUAAUUGACACUCUUGUGUCCCCCUUUAAUUUGCAAUGUUUACAAUCGUUAUUGUCUUUAGCUACGACUAGUUAGAACUAAAUUUUAUUCUUCUAUUCAUUCUCAAAAACCACUCUCUUGGGAACGAUCCCAACCCUUGGUUGGGUUACUAAACUAUAGAUCGUAGAUACUUGCAUCGGAAGUUGUGUCUUGAUUACGCAAACAUCAGUGGGUGAAUGGACCCAACUCUAUGUGAUCUCACAUACCUCGUACGGAUCACCCCUUGACGAAAUCCACAAGCGAUUCCUUACAAAGACGACGAAUCUUGAACUUUCUUCUCCUUUCUCCUCUUUUCUCUUUUCUCUAAGCCCUAGCGUGAACUUCCAAUUUUCUAAACUGACAAAAUUCUGAUUUGACCCUUAAUUAAUUCAAUAAAAUGAAUUAAAUUAAUUGGGUAAGGAAAAGACUAAAAUACCCUUCCAAAACCCGGUUCUAGACUUUCCUUAUUUGAACAGCCCAACUUCGAAUGGAGAUAUCUCACUCAUACGAACUCGGAAUCGCAUAAACUUGGCGGCGUUGGAAAGAUUAUUCGAAGAUAUUUCCUACUAUAUCUGUAAAUACACCUAAAUCAUCUUGAGAUAGAAGUUACGGUCAUUUGAAGUUGACCAAAAAUCCAACUUAGCAUACUUAACAAAUUUUCCAGAUUUUUAUUUUCUUUUCAAAAAUGACUAUUUCCACUUUUUAACUUUUUUCUAGUUACGGAGUGUUACAUUUUCUUAAUGGCACUGUUUGUGGUUCAUUUGCGCUAGAUACUUGUGAGUUAGUUCCUUCUUAAAGUGUUUCACCCAAAUAUUGUUCAGCAUUGUUAAAGUGUUCUUCAACAAGAGGAACAACAUUUGUUAUUUGUGUGGAAGUAGGUAUAUUCAUGGGCAAUGGAAUAUUUACCCUUACCUCAUUGAUUUCCCCACUUUGUCGUUCAACACUCCCACUAACUUCACCAUUCUCAAUGAAUUUUGCAUUACCAGUUUCAACAAUUCUCGAACUAUGAUUUGGAUAGUAAAACUUAUACCCUUUAGAUUUCUCUGGAUAGCCAAUAAAGUAUCCACUUACCGUUCGAGAAUAUAAUUUCUUUUCAUGUGGAUUAUAAACUCUAUCUUCCGCUUGACAACCCCAAAUAUGCAGGUGUCUUAAACUAGGCUUCCUUCCCAUACACAGUUCAAAAGGGGUCUUUGGAACUACCUUACUAGGAAUCAUGUUUAAUAAAUAUACAAUGGUUUUAAAAGCAUACAUCCACAAUGAUUUGGGUAAUGAAGAAUUACUUAUCCUACUCCUAACCAUAUCCAUAAGUGUUCGAUUACGCCUUUAUGCAACACCAUUUUUGUUGAGGUGUUCCUGGCAUAGUAUACUGUGCACAUGUGACAUGUUCUUCAAGGAAUUUUGCAAAUGGACCUAGACAUUGUCCUGAUUCGUUAUACUUUCUAUAAUAUUCACCACUUCUAUCUGACCUAAUGAUUUUCACUUUCCUAUCUAACUAUCUUUCAACCUCAUUAACGUACACUUUGAGAGUGUCCGCUGCUUGAGAUUUUUCUUUCAACAAAUAGAUAAAUCCAUAACUUGAAAAAUCAUCGAUAAAGGUGAUAAACUAUUUUUCUCCACCUAAAGAUGGAACAUCAAAGGGUCCGCAAUCAGUGUGUAUAAUUUCAAGAAGCUGAGUGCUCCUUGUGGCACCUUUCUUGGUAUGUUUGGUUUGCUUUCCUUUAAUGCAAUCCAAACAUAUAUCAAUAUCAACAAAAUUUAAAUUCGGAAGAAUCUCAUUCUUUACUAAUCUUUUUAAUCGUUCUUUGGAUACAUGACCCAAAUGUUUAUGCCAUAAAUAAGCAGAACUUUAUUUAGUGAACUACGUUUAAUUCCUAUAUUUUAAUGAAUAGUAAGUAGGGAUUUAGAAAAAUUAUUAUCGAGUUUCAAUCUAUAUAAACCAUCAAUAAGAACACCAGAACCAUAAAAAAUAGUAUUCUUAUAUAAAUUGAAACAUCCAUGUCCAAACUAAAAAUCAAAUUCAGAAACAUCAAGUCUUGAAAGAGAAAUCAAAUUCCUAGAAACUGAAGGAACAUAAAGAGUUUGUAAUAGAUCAAGAUGAUAUCCAGUCUCCAAGAUCAAUCGAGAAGUCCUUAUGCCUUCAAUUUGAGCCUUCAUGCGAUUUACCAUGAACACGAAAUCCUUAUUUGGAUUUGUAGUUUGGAUCGUAGUGAAUCCCUGCAACAUAGUGGAUACAUGAGUAGUUGCACCAGAAUCAAUCCACCUAUUAUUAUUAGGAACUUCUACUAAAGUUGAUUCGAAACAUACAAAAUCACUAAAUGUACCUUUCUUUUCAAACCAAGCUUUACGUUUCAGGCAAUCUUUCUGAUAGUGUCCUUCCUCUUUACAGAAAUGAUACACAUCAGCCUUGAGUUCCUUAUGAGCAUCCUGUGGAACUUUAGCAGGUGCUUUAUUUUUCUUAAACUUGUUGGCCUUCACUUUAAGUCUUUUACCAGCUCCUUGACCCAUGAGGUUAAUGGAAUGACCUCCUUGUUUCUUAAGUCUUGACUCCUCUUUAGUAAGCAUACUGGACAAUUCACUAACAUCCCACUUAUCCUUAAUAGUGUUAUAGUUAAUUUGGAAUGAUCCAUACUCAAGAGGCAAUGAGUUCAGAAUGAACUGAACCAAAAAGGUGUCAUCCACUUUCAUCCCCAAGGUCCGAGGUCUUGCUGCAAUGUUAGUUAUCUCGAUGAUAUGAUUUUUCAUACUAUGCGACUCAUCAAACUUCAUGGUUGUGAGUUCAGCCAUUAGUGUACCAGCGAGAGACUUAUCAGCAGAACAACAAUGUUCUUCCACAAACUUCAGGUAUUCCCUAGCACUUUCUGUUUAUGGAAUAAUACUCUUAAUGUUGUUAGCAAUAGUCAUUCGCAUGAACAUAAGGCUCAAUCUGUUAGAGCGAUCCCAUGAUUUAUGAUAAGACUUCUCAUCCUCACUGCUCUUACUAGUAAUGGCAGUAGGUUUGUCAUUCAGCAAAGCCAAGUCAAGAUCCAUCACACCUAAGUGGAACUGUACUUGUUCAUGCCAUUCAAAGAAGUUCAAUCCAUUGAACACGGUAACAGACGAAGCAUGCGAAUGAAGAGGAAUAACUCCAAAAUAGAUAUAGUUGCUCACAAAUAAAAAAAUAAUGUGAAUUCAGUAAAGCGAUAAAAAUAUAUCGUAAUUCUCCUUUGGGUAGAUACUAUGAUACAUUAUCAUAAUUUAAAUGCCAAUUUUAUCUUUAAUAGGUAAUUGAAUAUUUUAAUCAAACAUAUACGACAUCUUUGGAUAUGCAAUAAAUGUUUGACUAAAAAUAUUAAUUUACCUCAUAAUUUUCACUAUUCAUAGAAUGAGUGAUUCACCUUUGGGUAAAUUCUUAAGUUCUAGCAAUAGUGAAAGUCAAUUUAUCUAUUUAUUUUCAAUAUAGGCAUUUCAUUAACUUUCAUAGAUAAAUGACAAUUUAUGAAUGCAUAUUUUUCUUAACCAUACUAGUUUGUCCACUUUGGUCACUAAUAAACUAUAUAGAUACAAAUGCACACAUAAUAUCAUAAAAAAAUGUGCAUGAAUAAUUUUAUACAUUUUAGUUUGACCACUUUGGUGACUAACAAACUACAGAAACAUAAUACAUGCAUCAAGUGAUCAUAAAUAUCAUAUGUGUUGACGUUAAGUUUUCUGGUUUGGCCACUUUGGUGACUAACAAACUAUAUUGCACAAAGUACACACAUAUUAUUUAUUUAUUAAUACAAUGAUCACUUUAUUUUAUUGCAUAAUCUAAAAUAAAACAUAAUUAUUACAUUACGAAACGUAAACCAUAAAAAACUAGGAAGAAGGUUCAACCACAGAGUUAGUGCCCACCAAUACAAAACAAUACUGAUGCGAACAAUGAAUAAUUAAUUGGUCUUAUUCUAAAAUUGGACAUAGAAUUCAUGAUUUUCCAUAAACAAGACAUGCAUGUUGAAGAGGAUCUUAAAAGUUUUUUUUUUUAAUUAUCCUCAAUGUACACGUCCAUUCAAAGAAGUGCGUCUUUUCUUUAUUCCUUUUACUUUGGUCUCACUAUAAUAACAAAAUUGAUGCAAGUUUGCAGGUGACAUUGUGCUAGUCGCUUACAUCAUCUUAUAUAGAUAUUAUUGGAACAUUGAUGGUAAGUAUCGAAGUGGAACAUGUGAUAGACAGUACAUCAUAAACAUUGAAUGUUUCAUAUACGAAAAUUAUCAGUUUAAACAAUUCAGACUCAGAUGCCACAUGUAAGAUUAAAUACUUUAAUACAUAAUAUCAGGAUCUUGAACACGAUAAUCUUACAUAGAGAUCAUUAGGACACAUACCUGAUGCGGAAGCCGUCAUCACAGAGAGAAGCGAAAGCAUUAGUCGUAAAUUGGUUUCUACCUCCUUGCCCUAGCCUUACGUUACCACAACUGUCAGCGAUGAAAUUAAUGUAGAGAAUAUGUGGUAACCCUAAUAGGUGGAGGGAGGACCAAUUUAUAGAGGUUAAGACUUAAUCUGGUAUGUCCAUCAAAUAAUCAAUGUACGAACGAGAUCUAUUAUUUAUUAAAUAUUAUUUAUGGUAUUACUUGGGUUACAAGUAAACUUGGACCAUAAGUAAGAAAUAAUUAAUAAUUCUUACAUGACCAACAUAUUGAACUUUGAUGGUGUUUGAAAUCAUAUCUUGUAGUUGUUGAAUCGUUAUAGUAGCCGGUGAAGUAUAUUGUUUUGUGCAUUAAGAUUCAACUAACUUAGUAGGAGAUUCAUUAUCAAUUUUUAUUUUUUUUGCAGUGUUAUAACUCUCUAGGGCAAUAGAAAUCUAAUUUGCUCAUAAGUUGAGCUAUCUGAAGAUAUUUGUUUAAUGCCUCAACGGUUUACUUCAUCACAUAAAGUUGUUUGUCAACAUUGACUACAUCAGUCAUCAUGAUGUUGACCUAUGUUAAGGUAAAUGAAUCUAUUGAAUCUUCGAAAUCCUCAUAUAUAUAUAUAUAUAUAUAAUACAUAAAUAACUUAUAUAUUAUUAAAAUAUUAAAAAAUAUGCAACCUAGUAUUAGUAUAAACUGUUAUAAAUAAUUUAUUUGUGGAUGUCAAGUGAUAACAUCACCUUGCUACUAUAGCAAUAUGUAUUUGUGGAUGUCAUGUGGUAACAUCACCUUGCUACUAUAGCAAUAUGUAUGUGUGGAUGUUAUGUGGUAACAUCACCUUGCUACUAUAGCAAUAUGACUACUCCAAGUCAUAAUGCCUAUAAAAGGGCAUUGAAAUGAUAAUGAAAAGACACACCCAAAAAUAGUUACUACUCUUAUUUCUACUUUCUAUUUUACUAUGCUCUCUUCAUACAAUUUUAGUAUUCUGUCUUCAUUUCAUAACACGUUAUCAGCACGAGUCUCUUCAUCUACGAGCAUCUCCGACAGUGCAUUAGCCGAAACAUAAAUAGUAUAGAGUAUAUUAUAUUUUACUAUAUAAGUCUUCUUAUACUUGAUAGUCUAAAUUUGAUAAUUAUCGUUAAUAUUAUCAUGAAUUUUGAGUUAAUUAUUGAAAGUAUAAUUAGUACAUACUUAAUUGAUAACCUUGUUAGAAGAAUUGAAUUCACCGAAAUCAUUAGAAGACUAAAAGUGCAUAACAUGCAUUUUUAAGGUUGAUACCUUGUUAUGGUUUGCACCUAGGAAUACAUAAUUCCUUUUAAAUGAGAUAUAGGUAAUUUAAGGAAUGCAUAUCAAAAUAAAUAUUAAAAAAAUGUAUUAAAUUUAUUAUGUUGGCCUACAUUGACCUUGAUCAACAUUGUUAAUUAUUUUACACUUAUUUAUCUUUCACUAGCUAAUCAUUUACUUUUUCAAUUAUUAUAAUAUGUUAUAUGUACUAACAUAACUUAUUUUAUACUUGCUUUAAAAAUGUAAGCAAACUAAUAUGUGAAGAAGUAUUUUAUUUUCCUUUGGAAUUAUCAAAAGGACUUUUCUAUCGUGAAAGAUUCUUUGAAGUGGCAUUGACAUGUCAUUCAGGUUGGCAAUUAACAAACUUUUCAAUGGUAAGCUAAUUGUAUAUUUUUGCUUUAUGGUAAGCUUCCUUCAUAAUACUAAUUGCACUAAUUCUGAUUUGUAUAUAUCUACAAAAGAGUAUGCUAAUUUUUGAAAUUUAUAAAAUAUGCUACAUGUCAUUGAGAAAAUUUGACAUGUAGACUUUAUUAGAUCCAUUUAUCAAGUGUUUAUUUAAUUCUUGAAUUUUGAGGUAUCAUGUUAUUUAUUGUGAUUAUUAGUGUUUACCUCUAGUUGUUUUAUCUAUGAAUUACAAUUGAAGAAAGAAAUUUUCUUAACUAGCAAAAAAUGAAGUCAAUGUUGAGAAUUAAUAUGUUGGUCUUUCAAUAAAUGAAUUAUUCAUAAAACUUUUGAGUUGAAAAUAGUAUUCAAGCCACCUAUGAGGAUCAACUUUGCUUCGUUUAGCAAAUGCAAUAAUUUGUAUAUGAUCUUUUGAAGUGUUAUUAUGACUAAAUGUAUUUAUGCUAUUAAUAACAAAGUAACAAUAUUUUAAAGCCUCAAAGGUGAAUUUUAUUUUGGACUAUAUUUAAUGUCACUGAUUGAGGGUAAGACGGUGGAUUCAAGUUCCAUCAAACCAAAAGGGUAAGACAUUGAACAAUGUCUCGAUGCACCAUGAUGAUAAGAUUUUGGGUUCAAGUCCCAUCAUAUUUUGGCCUAACACACCUUUAUAUCGAUAAGUCAUUGGGUUAAAGUCCCAGUGCAAUAUAUUGAUUAUAUAAUGAUGACUGAGCAAAUUGAUAUGCUCUUAAAAAAAUGUGAAGUUCGUCCCAUUGAAUAUACUCCAUUCUUUGAAGUGAAUGUGAUAGCAAUACAUUAAAAGUUUGAAAGAUAACAAGAUAUUUUAUGAUUAAACAUAUGAAUAUGGACGUGAAGGGACAAAAUUAUAAUAGUCAUCAUUGUGAAAGAAAGAACAUCAUGCGUUCUCAAAAUUGUCCUUCAAAGAGUGAAGGUAAUUUUUGUCAUCAAAUUUGGUAUGAAAAGUAUUGGGCACGCGAUUACUGUACGUGCAAAUUAAUUUGAUUUUAUAAAUCCUCCAUCAAAGAAAAGGAUGAAAAAGUGGUGAUACUUUCAAAAGAGAUGUUGAGGUAUGUCAUAUGAAUAUGAUAAAUUUCAAAGCAUGACAAUGAACUUCUAAUGAAAGGAAUAAUUAUGAAGCAUAAAUAUACUAUUAUAGUCAAUUCCUUGAAGAGAAUGUGACUUGUGAUAAGUAUCAUGAAAAGUGGACCAUUCUUGAAAAUGAAUGUGUCAAGAGAAGAUGAAAAUUAUAAAUAAGGACAUACUCAUGCAUGAUUUAAUAAAUACCACAGCUCACCCCUAUGAGAGGUUAGAGAGAAAUAAAGAAAUUUAUUUUGAUAUAAAUGAUCAUUGGUCAAGUACUUUUAGUACAUCAUAAAUAUUAUGAUAUGUUUUAGUAUGAACUACCGAAAGGGCAAAGGAAGGAAAUAAUUUCUUGCCACAAAAAUUGUCAUUGGUUAUGUAUCUCUGUGCAUCAAAUAUUUUGCCAGAUAUUAAAUAAAAGGGAAGAGAUACUAAUGACAAAAGUAAAUCAAGAAACAAGUUUUACUUGUAAUGAUUUUGACCAUGACAAUAAUGAUAUAAUUUUUUCCUUGAAAGAGAUGUUUACCACAAAAACAAUGUUAUGAAAUAUGAGGUAGUAUUUAAUGUUAAUUAUGAGUCUUUGGUGAGCUAUUGUGCUACUACCCAAAGAAAUAAAAUUAUUCAUGAUAUUGGAAUUGUAGUAAGUCUCGAAAGAAACUUUUUAAGCUUCAAAGAAAUAGUCAAAGAAGAAAAAUAUUGAGACUAUAAAAUAUGAAAAGGUUUAAGAUCUUCAUAUUANNNNNNNNNNNNNNNNNNNNNNNNNNNNNNNNNNNNNNNNNNNNNNUUUGCAUAUUGUUUGUGGUAACUAAAUAUGAGCAUGAUGAUGGACUCACAUGCAAAACAAACUAUAAGUUUAUUGAAAUAAAUAUCAGUUAGCAUGACCGGUUGAUGACCAUCCCGGUUCAAAUAUGAUACGAAAAUAAAUGAGAAUUCAUGUGAUUAUAUAUAUUGAAGAAAUAAUAAAUUCUUCAAGAAUUCUCUUGUGUUGUUUGUUCUCAUGAUAAAAUUAUCAUUGUACCAGCUAAGGUUGAGAUUGUAUCUCCCGAAAUUUUGAAAUGUAUAAAAAUGUGAACAUGGAUCCGUGCAUCCGUCAUGUGGACCAUUUACUAUUAUAUAGAUGCAUCUAUGUAUGGUGACAUGUGCUUCAUUAUCGACUUGCAAUUUGAUUUUUGCAAAGAUUGUUUGCUCUAAUUGAUGAAUCAAGAGCACAUUUCAAAUUAUAAAAUUAUAUUGAUAAUGUUGGAUAUAUCCAAGUGGUUUAAGUAGAAAUUAUAUGACUCCAAUUAUAGCUAAAUCAUUGGUUAUGAGAACACAACUCUCAAAAAAAAUUUGGUAUGAGAUGUGUUAUUUAAGGUGUAGCAACACUUGUACGUAUCAAGCCAACAAGAUUCCCCAAUCACAAUUGAUUUAGGGUACUAAAUAAUUCUCAUCUAGAAAUACAAAUGUGUGGCAUAUUAUUUCAUUGCUCCACCAUUACGCAAUGCACAAAGAUGAGUCCCCAAAUAAGGUUGGGUGAAUGUUAGAUUCUUUAACAUUAGGGGGAGAUAAACAAAUGAAAAAUAAGUUAUACAUAAUGAAUUAUCAUGAUCCUCAUUGAAGAAAUAAUUUAAGUCAAUUGUCAGACGCAUUCGCUAACCCUAUGUUAUAAUCUAGUUAUAAAUGCUCCAGUGAAAAGUCCUUGAAGGACAUAAUUUAUGGCAAGCCUGAAGCGUGAUAAAUUAAUUGAUUCAAAAGAUAAAGGAGCAAAUGAUCAAGCUGGUCAUAAUAAUGAGGCAAGUGCUUUAGAAAGAUCACUAUGACAUAACACUUUAUAAAAACAUUGGCAAAGGUUCAGGUACCUGGAAAUGAUGAAAAAUAAAGUGAGAUUGAUAAGUUAUGUCACAUUUGAAUCGAUAUCACAUAAUCGUCAACGAUAUCUUGAAUAUAAUGUAGCGCUCAAAAUUAUAAAUGGUGAUGAAGAUCUUGAUAUUAAAUCUGUCGAGAGUUGUCAGAUAAAUGAUUGGCCAAAGGAAAUACAAUUCAAAUAUUUUUCUAUUCACUUGGAAAAAUGAAGUUUUGGACUUAUUUUGUCCAUAUACCAGACUUAUUUUGUCCAUAUACCAAGUUAUAAUGUCAGUGGGGUACAAAUAAAUUAUUGUGCGAUAAGAAAACUCGUAAAAUACAAAGUACGGGUUGUGCAAAUAAAGAUUUUUCGCAAAAGUCCUGACAUUAUUGUAUGGAGAUAUAUACUCCCAAGGUGGAUGCAAUGAGGUUUCUUUUAGUCUGACAAUACAUGAAAAACUUGAAUACCCAUGAUGAAUGAUUAUCAUGUCUAGCUAGACAGUAAAUAUUAUAUGAAAAUUCUUGAAGGAUUUAAAAGGUUAUAAAGCUAAUCCAUUGAAUAGUACCCCAAUGGUCGUAAGAUCGCAUAACAUAAAAGAUCAAUUUGGAUCUCAUUAAAAUGAUUAGAAAAUACCAUGUUAUAGUGCAAUUGGUGCAUUUAUGUAUCCUACUAUUAUUAUUCAUGGUAAAUAAUUUUAUGAAUGCUAAAUAUAAUAUCACUCUUAUCGGUGGAGAUAUUAGAGUGAAUCAAAUAUUGAUAUAAGUUAUUUAUUCUGAUCAAUUGUGUCAAGAUUUAUUGAUCAUGAAAUUGCAGGAAAUUAUGAAGUUUGAUCUCAAGAAAGUUAUCUAUUUUCAUUUGGAAAUACUAUCAUAUCAAAUCAUUCCACAAGACAGUCAAUUUUGUUGAAAGUGUUUGUCAGUGCUCGAUUAUUGCUGCUAACAAAUUAAACGAGCAAUUUGUCUACACCGGUAAGAUCACGAUUGAGUUAUUGUCAAAAAUAUAUUUGGUUGAGAUCAGUAAACAUAUCUAGAAAAUAUGCGACAUUUCUUUGAAAAGAGAUAUUCCAACAACAUUAUAUGAAGACAUUGAUGCAUGUCUAGCUCAACAAAGAGGAGUACACAUCAAAGAAGACUGAACAAAAUAUAUCUCAUCAAAGUUCUUCUUAUUCAUGAUCUUCAAAACAAGGAUGUAGCCGAUGUUUAACACUUCGUAUUCACCAAGACAUUAUCAACUUCAACAUUUGAGAAGUCAAGAUAUAAGAUUAAAAUGCAUCAUCUUUGAGUUGUUAAGUGAUGCUUAAUCAGGGGGAUUAUAAUACGUGUUGCACUCUUUUUUCCUUAGCCGAGGUUCUGUCCCACUGAAUUUUCCUGGUAAGAUUUUUAAUGAGGCAGCUACUAAUGCGUAUUACAACUUACAAGAUAUGUGUACUCUUUUUCCUUCACUAGGAUUUUUUCCAUUGGUUUUUUUUCUAGCUAGUAAGGUUUUAACGAGACACAUUAUAAAUCAAGACAUGAACAUUCAAAGAAAGAAUUAUGAACGACUAUGUAUACUUGAAUUUUUACUAAAUUUGUGCGCUUACAUGGACAUCCAAGGGGGAGUGUUAUAAAUAAUUUAUUUGUGGAUGUCAAGUGAUAACAUCACCUUGCUACUAUAGCAAUAUUUAUUUAUGGAUGACAUGUGGUAACAUCACCUUGCUACUCUAGCAAUAUGUAUGUGUGGAUGUUAUGUGGUAACAUCACCUUGCUACUGUAGCAAUAUGACUACUCCAAGUCAUAUUGCCUAUAAAAGGGCAUUGAAAUGAUAAUGAAAAGACACCCAAAAAUAGUUACUACUCUUAUUUCUACUUUCUAUUUUACUAUGCUCUCUUCAUACGAUUUUAGUAUUCUGUCUUCAUUUCAUAACAUAAACUAAAUAUUUAGAAGUUGAAAUUUUGACUACUCUAUUUUGAUUGAAAUGUAUUUUAAAUGUAAUUGAUUAACAAAAGAAAUUGUUUAUGCUUUGUUUUGAGUAUAUAUUUCUACAUGUAAAGUAAUGAAUUUUGAUGGACUUGAACUUAGGAUUGUAAUAGUUGAGCUAAAAAUUAAGUAUUGGCUUGAGAAAAUGGUAAAGUUAAAGACUUAAGUUGAUUAAAUUUAAAAAAAUAUUUAUAUUUUAUUUAUGAAUAAUAUAUUAUAAAAUUUAUCUGUUGGGUUUGACUAAUUUUGCGGUUGUUUUUUAGUAAAAUCAAAACCUAAUCAAAUAGUAUCAAUUUUCAAAAUUUAAAAUCAAACCUAAUCAAACCAAACCAAAUAUCAAUUGUUUUAAUCGAUUUGAUUCAAAUUGCAAUUAAAUUUAAUUUUUUAACCAUAACCAUGAACAACCCUAGCUGUCACUAUAAUUCUCAAAGUGAAUUUAAAAGAAAAAUUAGAUAAAAUAUUUAUUGAUUCAGAAAGAAUAUUCUAUUCCCUUUCUCUCUCACAUGUGACUAUCUCAUCUUUGUAAAUAUCUUGUCUCCCCUUCUCUCUAUUUUUCUUUCUCAUUUUUUUUUUCCGCAUGUUUUUUCUAUUUUGGCACUCUAACUUAAUUUUAUUUUAUUUUAAUUCUCCAACUUUAUUUUUAAUAUAUUAUUUAAACAUAAAAUAUUAACUAAACAGAUAAAUAAAGUUAUUUACCUUUUAAAGUAUGUGAGAAAUUCUUUUUAAUAUUAAUAUUCAAUAUUUUUAUGUUAACAAUUUUUUUCCCUAUAUAUUUUCUUAUCUUCUCUUCAACCCCAUAUUUCCCUUCAUCUACUUUACAAGUUCAUUUUUUUCUUCAUCGACCUCUUUUUUUUUAAUUUAACUAUCUAUGCUGAAGAUAAUGAUUUUUUAAAUUUUAAUUUAUAUAAUUCAUUUUGUCUAUAUAAGGAGUAAAAUAUUAAUUAUGUUCUAUGUUAUAAAUGUCUGAAUAAAAUGUUAAUGCAAGUUUAAGGUAUUGUUGUAUGUGUUUGACCUUCUAACUCCUAACCUAACUCAUUUCUCGUCUUCCUUUUCCCACUUUCAAGCCUUGUUACGACUUUAAUUGAGAUAAUAUCUCAGAUGGUCACUCAACUAUGCAUAGUUCUCCUAGAAAGUUACAUAACUAUACAUAAUUUUCUUUGAAAAUCACUCUACUUUAUUUUAUAACUCAAAAGUCACUCAACUAAUGAUAGUUUUCUUAGGAAAUCACUCAACUAUUGAUAUUUUACCUAGAAAGUCACUCACUGAAUUUAAAUAUUUUUAUAGAUUAAUUUUAUUUAAAUUAAAAACUUAUUUAAAAAUAAAUUCUUAAAAAAUGAAAAGAUACCCAUUAGUUACUAAAAUUUAUUAAAAUAAAAAGGUACUCAUUAUUUAUAAAAAGUUAUUUAAAUAAAACGGUACCCAUUAAUAUAUACUUUUUAUUAAGUCAUGAUAAACGAGCAAUAUCUGCUCUUAAGAUGAUUCCGCAAUAAUUCUUUUUUUAGUACAAGCAGCAACAAAAUGGGGAAAGGGACAACAAAAAAUCAACAAGAUAAAUGAAAUAUGUAUUUAGACAAUAUAUAUUGUCAUAUUGAGUAGAGCUGUCAAUAUGGGCUGGUCUAUCCCAUCCAGACUAACUCAUACAUGCUUUGAAAUUUUACGGGUUAGGCCGGGCUAGCUCAUUUUUAGGGUGGGCCAGAAAAUGGUCGGUCCAACCCACAAGUACGUGGGCUAGGGGCUUUUUCGGGUCACCCCUCUUUUUUAAAAAAUAUAUUUUUUAUAAUUUUUUUAAUUAAAUAAUAAUUUUAAAUAUUAUCAUAAGUAUCGACAAGACAAUAUUACAUGGUGUUACCAUUAGUACUUGUUGAUCAAAUCCACAAAUAAAAUUAUCUUUAUAAUAUUUAUUAAGUUUGAUUUCAAGUAAAAACAUAAAUAGCUAAAUAGAAAUAUUAACCUAAUUGUUUUCCAAUCAUAAUAAAACACAAAAAUUAUGACAAUAUUGCAUAGGCUACGGCUUAUGUAGUGAUUCCCUAGAAAUUUUCAGGAAUUUUUAUUUUAUGUAGUACACAAAUUAUGAACAUAAUUUGUAUUUAAAUUGUAAUAUUUCAAACUUUAAACAGAUUUCGAGUUUAGACUCUUGUUAUUUUUAAUACUCAAUUUUAUUUUUAUUUUUUAAUUAAUUUUUAUUUGGCCCCACGGGCCGGCCCUAUCCAUAUUUCUCAAUCUCCACAAAUCUUGUUAUUUUAAUACUCUAUUUUAUUUUAUUUUUAAUUAAUUUUUAUUUGGCCCACGGGCCGGCCCUAUCCAUGUUUCUCAAUCUCCACAAAUCGGCAGACUUAUUCAGGUCGGGCUAAAAAGCCCUUUUAUUAAAUGGGCUUCAAAAAUCGUAAUCCAACCCUAUCAAAUCACAGGUUAGGCCAGGCCGACCCAACGGGCCUAGCUCAUAUUGACGACUCUAAUAUUGAGUUUCUAUUUUAAGAAAUCAAAUAGGAUAAAUUAGAUCUACUAGUAUGAUCCAUAAUGGAUAUUUAUCCGAUAUUUUGUUAUCUUUUACCAAUAUACAUUUAAUAUUUUUUAUGAAAUAAUUUGUACCUUUUUAUUUCUUAAAAUUUAGCUUAAAAAAAAAUUAGUUCAGUAAAAUUUAAUUAAAAAAUCAUUUGAAUUGAUUGACUGACUUUCUAGGUGAAAUAUCAAUAGUUGAGUGACUUUCUAGGAAAUAUCCUUAGUUGAGUGACUUUUGAGUUAAAAAUAAAGAUGAAUAACUUUUUAAGAAAACUAUGCAUAAUUGAGUGACUUUCUAAGAAACUAUUCGAGUGACCAUCUGAGAUAUUAUAUCGUCUUUAAUUCAGUCACUAGUCCUAUCUUUAGGAUCCUCUUCCUUAAAGUUAAAAUAGUAAUUUUGGGCAAGCCAACACCCAUAGUGUGAUGGACGGUGGAUAUAAGGCUCGAAAAUGAUUUUUUUUCAUCAUAUGAUUAACGACGGUUACUAGUAAUUCUAACUUCACGCAGGUGACUUGUAGUCUGCAAUUCGAACUAAGGAUGAAUUUUUGGGGUUAGCUUAUCCUCGCACGGUGGCGAUUAUUAGGGAUCCUUUAAGACAAUGGCUGGGGUUGUAGUCUUGUUAUCUUAUGUUUCAGAGUCAAUUGAUUCCUCAAUAUAUUUUAACUAUAAAUAUUUUAAGAAAAGAAAAAAAAUCAUUUAGAUUCGAGACGAAAUUAACAAAUUGUGAUAUAUAUUGAUAAUUAAUGAAAAGGAAUAGGUGAUGAGAAAAAAACAUUAUUUUCAAGAAAAUCAAAUAAUAUCACGAGGUAGAAAGCCUUUCAAUGAAAUCUGCAGCCAAGUGAAAAUAAUAAUAAGGGAAAAAGAUCUGAAAUAUAUCUAAAUUUUGAUCGAAAUUGAUGUAACAGUACUGAACUUUGGAAAGGACUUUUUACCCCUGCACUAUUUAAUAGUGUAUUUUAAAGGUAUAUAUAUGCCCAUGUGGACAUCAUAAAAAUUGCAUAAUUAUAAAUAGUAACGUGUCCACGUGGGCACAUAUAUACCUUUAAAAUACACUACUAAAUAGUGCAGGAGGAUAACAACAAUUUCAGCCAAAAUUGAAGUACUAAUAAUAAUAUAUGUUUUCAGAAUUUUUCGAUAAAGGAUCUUAAUCAACAUAAGAAAAAACUUCUAUAAACGUAUACUAUGAAGAGUUUUAAAUAUAUAUUUUUUGAAUUUGAAUGAAAGUAUAUGAUGUGGACUAAUUAAAAUUUUAAUUUUUAAAGUGAAAGAAAUUUAACACUUAAAGAAUAAACGCACACAUUCAAAUAAUAUGAAUUUCAUAUUACGUGAGUGUACUAAUUAAUUAAUAUAAAAUAAACGUGCAAACGCAUGUGUCGGUAAACAUAGAUAGAUAUAUAACAACGUGAAGCAAAUGAUGGAUCUGCUCAUUCAAAAAGACAAAAAACUCACAUCAUAAAAGUUAAAUAUGUUAUAAAAUAUUAUAGUGUGGUGUCCACUACACUAAGAAGUUACUCUCACCCAUUAUUUCCAUUACUUUCCUCCAUUAUGAAGAUAACCAUAACCUCCAUAACCUAAAACUUUAUAACCAUUAUUUUUGUAACAUUUCACUUCUAUAACCUCCUCCAUUAUAUUCAUGUUAAUGUCAUGUUUAUGACUAACCUUUUGUAUGCCUCUAUGUUACACUAUAAAUAGAGGCAUACGAGUUCAUAUUGUAGAGAUUUGAAGAUUUGGUGAACACUUGAAAGAAAGAAAGUUAUCUCAUAUAUUGUUCCUCUUGUUUUAUAUUUCUUGUCUUAUUUUACUUUAGUUUUACAACACGUUAUCAACACGAAUAUUCUACUAUUGCAGGAUUGAAGCAAAGUAAAUAAAAGAAGGUAAAAUAAUUGUGUUUAUUUUUCUUUCGGGAACAAGGUAAAUUAUAGUGAAAUCUAUUUUAUAUUUUACUUGUGAACAAGGUGAAUGAUUAAUAUUAUUGUUACUGCGCAUUUUUUUUCACAUGUGACUAUAUAUAUAUAUUCUUUGUAUGUGAAACUUAUUUUAUAUUUUAUUUAUGAUUAUACUCACUGUUUUGGUUAUUACAUAAGCUUUUAAUUUAUUUUGUUUUCUACGUGAAAUAUUUUGGGUUUACAUGAAAAUUGAAAAAAGGGUGGUGGUAGUGAGAACUUUUAUUUUAGUGUAAUUGAAAUUAUUAUUUUCUUAGUGUGCAAUUAAUUCUUUGAUUUAUAACGGUAACUCACUAGCUUAACUAUUGUGCACCAAUCAUAAUAUAAUAUAAUAAUAUAUGUAACGCUCUGUUUUGACAAGUUUAAGAUAUUAAUACUUACUUUGUUGAGAAUAUUUUUAUUGUGUUUCGUUUGUUUUAUAUUUAUUUGUGCAUGUUAAUCACAAAGUGACAAUAUUUUUUUAAGGCUCAAUGGUGAGUCCUAUUAUAAUUUGCUUACUAAGACAUUGAUUGAAGGUAAGACAGUGAAUUCAAGUUUCACUACACCAAGUGGGUAAGACAUCGAGUUAAAGUCUCGGUGCACCAUGAUGAUAAGAAGUAGGGUUCAAGUCUCAUUCAUUUAUGACCAAAAACGUCUUUAUAUGGGUAAGACAUUGGGUUUAAGUCCUAAUGCACUAUAAUGAUGAUAUGAUGAUGACUAACAUAAAGUUGUAUACUUUUGACUGAAAGUUAUGAAAUUUGCCCAAUUGAUUUGCUCCAUUCUCUUAUGUGAAUGUGGUAGCAGGGUAUGAUAUGUCAAUUGAUUUGCUCCAUUCUCUUAUGUGAAUGUGGUAGCAGGGUAUGAUGUGUCUGAAAAUGACAAGUGGUUGAAUGUAUCAAUAUGAGUGUGGUAAAAUAUUAAUGGUUAUCAUUGUGGUAAUUAAAAUGAAGAACAUUAUGGGUUCUCAAGAUGGUUCUUCAAAAUGUGAAGGUAAUUUUUGCCAUCAAAAUGGUAUGAAAGGUUAUUGCGCACAUUGUUGUUGGUGCAAUUCAAUUUGAAAAGUUUUGUAAAUCCUCCAUCAAAAUAAAGGAAUACAAAGUGGUAGUACAUUUGACCUCUUAAAGUGAUGUUGAGGUGAGUCACAUAAAUUUGAUAAAUGUGAAAGCAUGACAAUGAGUUUCUGACAAAAACUUAUGGAGCAUGUUCAAAUGGUUAUGGUCCAUUUCUUAAAGAAAAGGUGACAUGUUCUUAUGGAUAAGAACAUGUCCAUGUAUUGUUGGAUAAAUGUAACAUCUUACCUCUACGAGAGGUUUAAGAGAUUGAAAAGAAAUAUUUUGACAUAAAUGAUCAUUUAGUCAUAUACUUUAAGUACUACACAAAUAUUGUGGUAUGUUAAAUUACGAACUAUUGAAGGACAAAAGAAAGAAAUAAUUCUUUCCUAUAAAGGUUGUGGCUAUGACCAAAAUAAAUAUUGUUGUGUGGCAACACAAAUUUGUCAUUGAUUGUCAAGAAAUAAGACUUGCAUGUGAUAAUUUUAAUCAUGACAGUAAUAAUAAUUUUCUCCUUGAAGGAGAUGGUCACCAUAAGAAUGACGUUGUGAAAUUUUUGAUAGUACACAAAAUUAAUUGAGAGUUCCGAAAGGGCUAAUUUGUUACUAUCCGGAGGAAUGAAAUAGUUCAUAAUAUUGGGGUUGUAGUAAGUCUCAAAAGAAACUUUUUAUGUUUCGGAAGAAUUGAAAUGAANNNNNNNNNNNNNNNNNNNNNNNNNNNNNNNNNNNNNNNNNNNNNNNNNNNUUAUUAUAUUGAGAUUGUAAAUUAUUGAAAGAUUAAAUAUCUUCAGAUUACUACAAUCAAAGCGGGUUAUGAAUAUUUACAUAAAAGGUUACCCGCCUUUCUCUUGUUUAUUGUAUACAAAUAUAGGCAUGAUGAUGGAAUCGCAUGCAAAAAAAAUAAUCUAGAAGUUUACUAGAAUAAAUAUCAGUUGGCAUAAUCGGUUGGUCAUUCCGAUUCAAAUGUGAUGCAAAAGAAAUUGAGAAUUCAUGUGACUGUGUUUGAAGAAAUAAAAGAUUCUUCAAGAAUUCUCUUGUGUUGCUUGUUCUCAUGAUAAAAUGAUCAUUGUACCAGCUAAGGUUGGGAUUGUAUCCCCUGAAAUAAUUUGAAACAUAUAAAAAGGUGAAUAUGGGCCCGUUCACCUGCCAUGUGGACCGCUUACUAUUAUGAUUUAAUAGAUGCAUCUAUGGUAUGGUUACAUGUGCAUUUGUAUCAACUUGCAAAUUGGUUUUUGUAAGGUUGUUUGCUCAAAUUGUUAAAUUAAGAGCACAGUUCCAAACUAUAAAAUUAUGUUGAUAAUACUGGUUGGUUUAGAAAAAAUUGUUUGCUUCCAAUUAUAGCUAGACCAUUGAUUAUCAGAAUAAAUCUCUCAAAUAAGAUUUGGUAUGAGAUGAGUUUAUUUAACAUGUAUGCAUCAAGCCAACAAGGUUCUCCCAUUACAAUUCGUUCAGGGUCAGGAACCAAAUAAUCUACAUCUAAAAUUUGAUGUGUGCACAUAUGAUUUUAUUGCUCCACCACACACAAAGAUGGAUCCCCAAAUGAGGUUGGGGGUAAAUGUUAAAUUUCUUAACAUUAGGGGGAGAUAUGUUUAGCAGCUGAAAAUUAUGUGUGGGGUGAAUUAUCUAGAUCCUCGUUAAAAAAAUGUGAACUUGAAGUUCAAGAGAUACUUCAUUUGCAAAAUUUUGUAAAUAAUUUGUCAGAUGUAUUUGCUGACCCAAUAUUUUAAUUAAGCUGCAAAUGCUUCAAUAAAUAGUCAUUGAAGGACAAAGUCUAUGGUACGCCAGAAGCGUGAUAGACCAAUCGAUUCCAAAUGUAAAACUCAUUGAGGAAGGAGAGGAGCAAAUUAUCAAAAUGGUCAUGAUAAUGAGGUAAGUGCUUUGAAAGAGCACUAUGACUUAACACUUCAUAAAACCUUGGCAAAGGUUCAGGUACCUGAAAAUGAUGAAAAAUGAAGAGAUCUCGAUAAGUUGUGUCGUAUUGAAAUCAAUAUCAAAAUGACCGUCGACAGUAUCUUUGAUAUGAAGUAGCACUCAAUAUUAUAAAUGCUUACGAGGAUCUUAAAUUCGAAUCUGUCAUAUAGUGUGGACAGAUAAAUGAUUGCCACUAUUCAAGUAUAUUUUGUUUCGCUUAAAAAAGUGAUGUUUUGAUCUUAUAGUUCAUGGAUCAAAAUAUAAUGCCAUUGUGGUACAACUGAAUCAUCGUGCAAAAGUAUAACUGUAAGAUAUAAAGUGCAGUUUGUGCCUUGGGGAAUAAAAAGUUUUCGCAAAAAUUCUGACAUUAUUAAAUAGAGAUAUAUUCUCUAGUGGUGGAUGCAAUGGGACUUGUUCAGUCUGGCGAAUAGAUGAAAUACUUGAAUAUGCAUAAUGAAUGAUUAUUAUGUCUAACUAGAUGAUUAAGGUUACAUGAAGGAUUUUAAAGGUCUUAAAGCAAUUCCAUUGAGUACCCAAUGAUUUUGAGACUACUUAACACAAAGAAAGAAUUUUUUUGAUCUCAUGAAAAUAAUUUAAAAUGUCAUGUAUUAGUGCAAUUGGUGCACUUAUAGAUUGUUGGUUAUGCAAAUGCUAGAACAUUAUUUGAUAUACAUAACGAAAGUUAUGUGAAAAUAUUGUCAUAUUAUCAUUCAAGUUAUGACAAGAAACUAACAAAGCAAGUGACUCAACACAUAGAAGAUGUGUGAUUUUCUUUCAAAAGAAAAGACGAGCUUCAAUAAAAUUGAAAUGAUCAAUCCCCGAGUCAGAUAUGAUUUGAUUAUGUAGAUGCUGAAUAUUUAUUUGAUCUGCAUAAAGCUCGAUCGCAAAUGGACUAUUAAUUUACAUAUGGAGACGCAACAAUAUCUUGGCAUUCAAAGAAUCACAUUAGUAAUCACUUCUUCAAAUCAUGCAUAAAUAAUAUUGAUCUAUGAAUUAAGUCGGGAGUGUGUUUGGUUGGAAUCAUAAUCUAUCAUAUUCAGAAAAUAUAUGAUUUUCUUUUGGAAAGAAUAUUACAGCCACCAUAUACGGAAAUAAUAUAUAGCUCAUUGAAGGGAGGAUACAAUCAAAGGAGAUCGGACAAAACAUAUUUCACCAAAAGUCUUUUUCACACAUGAUCUUCAACAAAAUGGUGAGAUAAACGUUCAAAGACCCAUUAAAGUGAUAAUCGUGUAAACUUAUUCACUAAGGAUUGCCAACAUCAAUAUUUGAGAAGUUGUGAUAUAAGAUUGGAAUGCAUCAUCUUUGAUAUAUCAAGUAAAGUUUUUAUCGGGGGGAGAAAAAUACGCGUUGUACUCUUUUCCUUAACCAUGGUUUUAUCCCAAUAGAGUUUUCCUGGUACGAUUUUUAACGAGGCAACAUUCAAAGUGUAUUAAAAGAUAUGUGUACUCUUUUUCCUUCACUAGGAUUUUUUCCCACAGGGUUUUUUCCUAGUAAGGUUUUAAUGAGGCAUAUUAUCUAUGAACAUUCAAGGGGGAGUGUUAUAAAAUAUUAUAGUGUGGAUGUCCACUACACCAAGAAGGAACUCUCACCCAUUAUUUCCAUUACUUUCCCCAUUAUGAAGAUAACCAUAACCUCCAACUUUAUAACCAUUAUUCUUGUAAUCUUUUACUUCUAUAACCUCCUCCAUUAUAUUCAUGUUAAUAUCAUGUUUAUGACAAACCUUUUGUAUGCCUCUAUGUUACACUAUAAAUAGAGGCAUAAGGGUUCAUAUUGUAGAGACUUGAAGAUUUGGUGAACACUUGAAAGAAAGAAAGUUAUCUCAUAUUAUUCCUCUUGUUUUAUAUUUCUUGCACUACAACAUUUUAGGCCUACGGCCACACUAAAUCUAGACAACGCUUGUAAAGUGUUGCCUAAAAUAGUUUUGGGGACGCUUUUAAAGCGUAGCCCAAGUUUUUAACUUUUAGCUUCGAUAAUAUUGGCAACACUUGUAAAGUGUACUCCUUAAUGGUAUAAGUUACACUUUAUAAGCGUUGUUAAAGUAUGAUAUAAUUGGCAACAACUAUUUACAUAAAUGUCCAUACUUUUAAAGUGUCCUAUUUUUAUAAUCGUAAAAACACACUACUAAAAAUUUGGUCUAUGGAGACAGUUCAUUUACCGUUGCAUUAGGCUUCUAUUUUGUUGCAAUAGCUCUAUUGCCACGGUUUAGGCAACCACUACAACAGAUCGCGUAGCAAUAGCACUGUUGCUAUGGUUAUUUCCGACAGUUCUUAUAAUCCCUAUUACAACGGUUUUUUACCUUGUGUUAUUGUCAACGGUUAAAGCCCUACUGAGACGAUUAUGAACCGUGGCAAUAAACUUUUAUGCGACAGUUAUAUGUGUUAUAGCUACGUUUUUUUCCAAUUCAACAACAAUUUCUGUCAGUUGCAGCGAUUUUUAUAUGGUAGUGCAACAGUUCUAAAUUACUAUGACUUUUACUCCAUUGCUAUUGCUACAGUUAUUAUUAGGCUUUUGCAACAACUAUUUGCCUAUAGCAACAAUUCAGUUUAGGCUUUUGCAAUCGUUACUAUUAGUCUUUUGCAACAAUUAUUAUUAAUCUUUUGCAACAGAUUCUACUGGUCUACUGCCACAUAUAAUUUAUAGAGCUAUUGGAUAUAGAAUAUAAAAUACACAAAUCGAUUCAAUACCAAAAUUACAAUCCAAGAUCCAUGGUUAGGUAAUAUCGAUAACAAUAAAAUAUAGAACAAUGUUCACGAUUCAAAAUGGGUGUACUGAAACAUUACACAUGAGUUUUUGGUCUUCAAAACUAAAAGAUUUGUAGAACAUUAAAGUUAAUCAACAUCAAGCCAGUCAACACCUAGGUCAAGUUCCCAGUACUGCUUUCAUCCUCUUCUUCGAUUUUAUCACCUAUAAUGAAAAUACAAAAUAAAUUAGCAAAAUUUUCAUACAAGCUUAGUAGUUCCACGCCAGUCAUACAUAAACUUUACUACUUGCUAUCUAUAAUUGACAUAUAAAUUCAAUAAGCUUCAAAUGACAUAAAACAAAACAAAAAAUUGAUGAGGUAGAGAGUUAGGAUAAAAAGUCUCCUACAUUUCGGCCAUAGGUGAAUCUAACAGUAGAACCAUCAGUUAAAUCAAUUCAAUAAGGUGGGUUAUUGGCAUUUGGAGCAGUGAGGAGAUUUUUGUUGUUUCUAUUAUCAAUAAUAAAGAUUCUCUGAUAAUGAACAAAUAGGGCAUCUGUUCUUCAUUUCUUACCAAUAUGAUUUUAAAUUCAUAAAAAGUAGCAAUGUAUUAUCAUCACAAAUCAUACAAUGUUAUUAGUAAUAGUCAUUAAAGGAAAAGAAUCUCAAAUCAUACAAUGAUACCAGUACUAGCCAUUAAAGGAAAUAAAUAGAUAAAAUUAAAACUAUGGAAAAACUAUAUGUAGGAGGAUGAGACAGUUAAGGGAAAAACUUUUAACUAGGUAAAUAACUCACAGCUAAUGAGACCGAUCCUAGGAAAUACAAGCUAACCAAAAGGCCAACAAGGCCACCAUCAGAAAAACUAGCUAAAAACAAGAUCACCAAGGUUGCACAAAGCUCAAAGUGACAUUUAUAACAAGUCUACAAGCCGCAACAGAAAGAAAAUAGAAUCGCAAUAGAGAAAGGAAAUAGAAUUGCAAAUGAGACAGAACGAAGAAAAAUAAGAGGAAGACAAAGACAAAGAUAAGAAAAAUAAGAAAGUGUCAAAAUAGAGAAUUAGCGACACUAACCUUGAUCAGCCGCUUGUGGGGUAAGUAAGUUCUCUAUGUGAAGGAACGGACAAUGCUGCUAGUAUGUUAGGAUCAAUUAAUCAUACAUGCUGAAGUUGUGCAAUUACAUAUGCGAUAACUUCUAAUCGCAUAGUUCUGUAUUGUUAAUCAAUUUGUUUCUCCAUUUUUUACAUCUUUUCUUGCAUUUGUCGUACUACAUCUUUUGUGGCAUUUAAAGUUGGUUCACAGUUAGCAGAUUUUAUUUUCAAAGUAAUCUUUAUAACCUCCACUCCAUAUUGUCUUAGACGUCCCGAAUGUUCAGAACCCAUGAAGGCUGAAAAUGCAUCAACAAACUCACCAUUUGCGUCCAUUUGUCUUUCAAUUUACUCCAUUUCUGCCUAACAAUGCAUAUCCAAUAGCAUGUAAACUAAAUUUAGAACAAAUACUGACUCAAAAAAAUUAAAACAAAUAAUUGAUCUCAAGAAAAACUUGUAAAUAGAUGACACUCGUACAAUUUCACUAGUUGUAUUUUCAUUCGGGGCGGCCUUGUACAAACACCCGAGUUUCCUUGUCCUUGUGACCAUGAAGAUCUCCUUAGACGAUACAGUUUCCUUAUCUUUUUCCUAGUCACAUAAAAAUAAAUAUAAGAAAUAACUUAAAUAAUAGGUUAAGACUUAAUAAUAAAUAAUAGAACACACCAAUUUAUUACAGACUAAAGCAAAACUUUUUUUGCCAGAUAGGUGUGGGUUCAUCAGCUUUUUCCGAUUCUCAAUUUUUGUUUCAGACAUUUUUUGUGCUACAUAAUGUACUAGAUGAGGUCAGUGCUUCCUAUUUUCUAAUACCAAAACUUAAAACUUGAACACUACUAUACCAGCGUAAGAUAAGUUGAAUGCUAUAAUAGUCAUCUAGUAACUAAAGAAACAAUGGAUGGAUGCAGUUCAAGGAAAAAUAUUGUCCACAGAUACAAUUCCAAUCUACUUGGAGAAAAAUUUGACAAUAUUUAAUGGACACGGAAGAGUUUGACAAGUUAAUAUCAUAUGAAGCCAAAACCAAACUGAAGACCUUACUUUUGUUAGUUUCAAAGCUCAACUCAUAUUAUCUUUGAUCAUAAAUAAAAUCUGAGAAAGACCUUCAACUAUAAGAAAAUUAACCAAAAAAUUAGAAGUCAUAGAUAAAUUCAAUAAGUUUCAAAGCUAUGUGUUACCUUGUUCAUCAGAUUGUUCAUCUGUUGAAAGAGUGAUAGAAUUCAUUUGCACUUAAUUCUCUACAAGUCGCUCCUCUGGUGGCUGCUCCUCUGUAAAUUUUCUAUAUUCUUCAGAUUGGGGUGCAACAGGCUGCUUCUCAAUUAAUUUUAGAAGAUGCCCUUUCUUUGACUUUAUAGCUUGAACUAUUUUAUUUGUUUUCAAUAAUCCUCAUUUUUUAUUUGCGAAGAAUGAAAACGAUCCAGGUUUAUCAUGUCUUAUUUUUUUUCUAUUUCUUUUUGAAUGCUCUUGUUCACUCAUAACUAUUCAAAACUCGAGAGAGCAAGACCCAGGAGGUUCGCAACUACCACGGCCGUAAGAACUCCGCUCGUUCGUAAACAGUCUGGAAGAAUCCAUCUUUACUAAAACAUAAUCAUCAAGAUCUUACAAAUUACAUCUUCUUCGAGGUUAGAUAAUAAUACAAGUGAAAAAUCUAAAUCUAGAUAUUAAAAUCACUUAAACCAAAAGGCUUUCACUAGUAUUAUGUUUAAGUGAAAAACUUACCGUGCUUCGACUUGUAAUAAGAAAUAUAUCAUUAGCAGGUGAUAAUACAUAAUAAUACAUGUGAAAGUCUAAAUUCAGAUAUUAAUCUUUAUAGUUGGUCUAACGGAAACGUAUGUUUAUCUAUCAUACAAUCAUGAAAUGUACUUGAGAAUACAAAUACAUAACGUCUAAAGAUAAAAUAACUCAUAUAAAAGGAACAAUAUGAAAGGCUUAUCAGAUAUUAGGCAAAUAAGUUGAUAAAUAAGAAACAUGAAAGGCAAAGACAUUGGAGUGCAGGUCAUUCGAGGAAAGUGAACAACAGUAUACACUGUAUUAGUAGGAGGCAAUUUAAGAGGCAAAGUUUCAGCUAAAUACGGUGUUAUGAUAUACAACACAUGGAAGGUUAGGAACAUAAAGAAGUAUAUACUAGAGGAAAUUAUAUACUAGUUUAGUCAUUACACAGAUACAUAAAGAAGUAAAAGAGAGAAAAGGAGUAACUAGAGGAAAUUAUUUUUCAUGAUAUUAAGGUUGUAUUUCAACAUACAAUCUUAAAAGUUAUUUCUAUUUCAAUUCUAUACAUAUUUUUAUUCCCAAUUUGUGGAAUCUUGCAGCUACAACGUACAGUGUUGAGGAAUUUCAUAAUGGAAAUUGCCUCAAGGUUGCUUUUAUAUUCUUAACUAGGAAACGUUCUUUAUUAUAGCAAUUAUUUUGAAUGGAUUUUGGAGUAUACACCUCAAUUUUUUGUUGCAUUGCCUAACUACAUCUAUGUUGUAAGUUUCUGAUUUUAUAGAUAUAUUCUUUAAGCAUUUUAGGCUUAUGUAGAGUUAAAAAAAUUCUCAUUUGAAAUGUUUUAAUUAUUUUUUUGGUUUGUAGGCUCAACUUGAAACUGUUGUGUAGGCUUGCUGCAAUAUUGUUAUUUGAUAAAGCAACAAGACUAUUUAUGGUAUUAACUCUCAAAGGGAAUGUGAAAUUUUUAUCCCUUAAAGAACAUAGAUGUCGAAAACUUUUUUCUCAUCUGCCAUCGAUUUAUAGUAAUCACAAGGCUAUAAUGUGAAGAAACAAAUGCAUACAGUGCCGUUUGCCAAAACAUGAAAGGCUGGGUAGGAACAUGAAAAAUUCUCGAACACAUAAAUAGACAUACUAGUUUAAUCAUCACACAGAUACUAUAAAAAAGUAAAAGAGAGAACAGGAGUAAUAUGUUUCAACAUCCAGAAUCCAAUAAAAUGGAGUUUUCACCAAUUGUUUUACAUACAUUUGACAUCAGUUGAAAAAAAUAUUUUUUCAACUUAACAUAUCAUCUAUGACAAUAGCUAUAGCAGUCAUCUUUGGCAACAUUCAUGUGUUUAAUCAACAAUGAUACAAAAAUCAAAGUUCAGAACAAUAAUGUAAUGACCCUAAAGGUCAUUUUUGGAAAUUNNNNNNNNNNNNNNNNNNNNNNNNNNNNNNNNNNNNNNNNNNNNNNNNNNNNNNNNNNNNNNNNNNNNNNNNNNNNNNNNNNNNNNNNNNNNNNNNNNNNACACGUGCCAUCACAUCCGGAUUUGGGUUGUGACAAAUAACUUCAAACUUUCGACCAACAGUAAAUUUAACUUGACAUGAUAGAUAGACGAAACUCAAAAUACUAAAAACAUUGGGAGAAAAUCAACUACAAAUCAGAAUUUGUUUCAUAAAAAUGAAACUCAGCUUCACAAUGAUUUUUUUCUGAGCAUUAAAAUCAUCACCAAAUUUGAGAUACAAACUCUAAACUACAAAUAGAUAUCACACAGACCUAAACUAGAACAAAUAAUAUAGAUUUCAAGCAAACCCAAUUGUUAGACUUUAUGAUUUCUAAAAGACCUUAAAUAGAGUUUCUGAUUUUUUAAAAUAGUACAUGUAUAACAAAUUAGAGACAAUGAGGAAUUAGAAAUCACCUUAAAAUUAGUAUACCUUUACAUGCAGAAGUUUAAUGUGGAAGAAGACUACUGUUGGAGAAGAAUACCACUAUAGAUGAACACUUCACACCGGAGAAGAAGACUACUGUGGGAAGACUAGUGCGGUAGAAGAAAAAAAAUUCUUCACCGGAGAUCCAUGUUUGCUGUCGAAAAAGAAGUAGUCACCGGAGUUUUGAAAUUCUAGGGCUAAAGCAUUGUUGUUUAUUUUGAGACCUUAUUUCACUAAAAAAAUAAAAUAAUGCGGGUCUACUAAAUUAGUGGGGGAAAUGAAUUUUUGAGACAUAAAAUUUACGGGGACCAAAAAGUAUACUUUUCACUAAAACAAAUCAUUUUCAUAGAGUAUUUUAUAGCGACGGUUAACAUGUAUGUUGCAAUAGAAAGUUUGUAGCGAUGGUUAACAUGUAUGUUGCAAUAGAAAGUUUGUAGCGACGGUUGUGCGGAAGAUUGAUACGCUCAAAUUACACCUCCCUAAAGAAGUAUAAGCAAUUGUUAUCAAGUAAAGAACUCAAUUUGUAGGUUGGGGGUUGAUCCCACGAUGAAUAUGGUUUAGACUUAACUUUAACUUAUGAUUAUAUUCAUUUAGUCAAUGUAUUUAUGAGACAAGUAAGUAAGGGAGGGGGGGCGGGGUUGUGAAACAAAUAACUGAUUGAUUGUUAAGUAACAAGUGAGCAAGAUUCGAACUUUUGUUGUUAUCAAUGAGAGAGAGAAACUAGGGUGUAUGUGUUCCCUAUAAGCUAUUAACUCGGUAAUCCUAAUAAUAGUAAUCCCUUCCUAGUGUAUCACAUGCAAAGUAGUAAGUUAUGUAUCCCUAAGUGCUUGGUCCGCCAAAUAGGGAAUUUCACCCCGCACCUUGGUCCGGCUUCGUGUGUAUAAUUUACUAACCCUUACAUUUACAUUGGAUUAGACAUCACAUCAAUGUAUGACUUAGUUUUCACCCUCGCACCAACUGACAUUAGACUAUUAGAUAGUAUCACACUAAAUCUCCAUUGAUAAUUCUUUUCUUAUUAAGUAUCUCCUUGGUCCGGCAAGUAGCAACAAGGCGAGUUCUAACGCGUGCACUAGUUAAAAAGAUUUAUAAGCGAAAGAAUUACCAGUACAUGCAUCAAAACUAGUCAAGAAUUACUUAGUUAUUAUUCAUACGUUGUUAAUUGCUUAUGGUUCCCACAACCGUGGUUGUGGACUUAGCUACUCAUGCUUGAAAGAACACAAUUCAUAUUUGUAGAAGAAGAAUUCAUGAACUUACCUAUUGAGUAGAAGAAACCCGUAAUCUUCAAUUGAAAUUCAAAGCAAGAAUCUUGAUAAACCAAAAUUAGGAAAUCAAACUGUUAAAGUUUGCAAGUUAAUUACCAAGAAAAUACCAAGAACUAAAAUUAUACUAUGGUGUCUAUCCCCCAAAAAUGAGGUUUACAUGCCCUAUUUAUAUAAAAACAUGUCCUAAACAAAAAGGAAACGAAAUAAGAAAAUAAAUUUUUUUGAACACGACUUCAAUCGACGAUACUGACCUACAGACCGUGGACUGAACUCGGUCCGUAGGUCCCUUCCGUGGUUCAAGAUUAAGACAAUUUCUCAGAAGUUUUGGAACCUUCAACUCCCAGUUGCAAUCAACAGACGUCCAGUACGGACCGUGGGUCGAUCCACGGUCCGUAGGUCCUCUUCCGUGGCUCCACACUUAGAACUUUUCAUCCUGUACUGGAACUUCAACUCUCAGUGAUCAUUGACGGACGUGCAGGACGGUCCGUGGGUUGACCUAUGAUCCGUCACUCGCCUCUGUAGUUCCACACUUGAUCAGACUUUACAUAUGAGCACUCCAUGCCUACCCACUGAUGGACCGUGAUUGGACCUACGGUCUGUAGGUCACUUCCGUGGGUGGCAACUUCUGCAGAAUUUCAGUUGUAUCUCUCUCAACUUUGUCCAAGCCUAUUUCCUGUUAUUUUAGCACAAUAAACAUUAGUUCUAAUACAAAAUGACCCUAGACACACACAAAUCUUAAGCGAAAUGCAUUAAAAAUACUGUAAACUCACGGUAUAUCAAUACCCUCAACUUAAAUUCGUUGUUUGUCCUCAAGCAACACACUAAGACUCUAAACGACACUUGUAUAGAAGCAGACAUUCAAACAUAAGCAAUCACAUGACUUUCUAUCCCAACUCCCUUUUUGAGUGCAAAUCUUUUCUCUUAGACUCAACAAGCUAACUCAUGCGGAUCAAGAUAUGACAAAGAUCGACCAAUAGACACACAACAUACACUUUUUCACUAUCACCAAGGUACCAACUCUCCGACAAUGUAACUAGUGCCCUUACUUCAAACGAAAACCCUUUUUCCACACAAUGAAUAAGAUUUUGAGUACAAGGAUUCACUAAACACUCACGCUCAGAAGUAACUUCAAGUAUAGUUAGUGCUCAAUGCCAUAGGCUUGCCUUAUUUUCACUGCUUAGAUUCUCCAAACUAGUUGCUAGGAUCACUAUAGGACUUUCUUAGCUUGUAACGUAGGCUCAGGGUCAGGUGUGGUACAUUUGGGUACUUUUAAUUGACUUUCUGCCCUCCUUGACAUUACAUUGGCUUUUAACCUCUUUUCUACCUAUUUUUGACAUCCUUCCUUUUUAUCUUCUUUCCCUUGACUCUUUUCACCAUGGAUGUAACUUUUGACUUUGUAGCUCUUAUUUUUCACUUUCUUCUUUUUCUUUCACUUUAUUUUUUUCUUUAUUUUUCAGCACUUUUAUUUAUAUCUUUUUGCUUCUUUGGCACAAAGUCACAUCCUCUUCUAUCUUCUCCUUUUCUCUUUUCAUACCUAUUUUUCUUUCGGUUUUCUCUUUCAUAGCCACCCUCAACUUAUGGAUUUUCCAUUAGUUGAGGUGCACAUUAUCCGAUGUCAGACCAGGGCCAAGAUUGAGGUUACUUUUAGCAUUAGCCACCCUCAACUUAGGCUUUUGGCCUGAGUCAAGGUACACAUGUCCAAGGAGGGAUCAGGGCCAAAACACUUAUUUUAGGGAAGGUGAGUUAGGUGAAUCAAAAGAAAUAGUCAAUUUUAGGCUCAAUUAUUUGGAUCAAAGGGAACAUUGAUUUCAUUUGGUUGGACUCUUUUAGGCUUAUGUGGACUAAUUUGAACAAGGGCCUAUGAUCACUUCCCAACUUCUAGCCUAGAUACUCUUAGCAGGACCAACGGGGUAAGUUCUAGAUUGGCACAAACUGUCUAAACAAUCAACUUUCCUCACACACUCUUGGCACAUUGUUUCAUUAUCAGAUUACUCAGUUCAAGUUUUAGCUUAAGUCAUGAGAUCAAAUUGGUUCUUUAUCAUGUCAUACUCAGAGCCAACACAUUCAACUCAUUCUAGCCUACAUAUUUUAGCACAUAUCACAACUUUUGGACGGGUAUCAUUUUUCUCUCUUAAUUAUGCCAUCAUGCUUCAUUCUUUCUCAUGCUUCUACACAUACAACCCUAACAUAUGUCGGUUCAAUAGAAAUUAAAAAAAGUCUCUUGGGGGAAAAGAACACAAGCAAGAAAACCCCAAGAGAGGAUUAUGAGUUGGGUUACUCAGACUUCACCCUAUCACUCAUAAUCCAUUUACCCCACCCCCAACAAAAUAGAGUGAAUUAUCCCCAAUGCACAAAAAAUAAAGAAUAGAGGAACGGUGAAGCAAACCAGUGGCGCAUAGCACCGAAGACCUAUCCACAAGCGGGUGGGUUUGGUUUCUCGGAGCCCACUAGAUCAAAACUUGGGUCACCAUCAGUAGUGCCCACAUCUACCAUCUCAGCACCAUCAGUAGUGCUAGCAUCAACUCUCGCCUCACCAUCAGUAGUGCUCACGCCAACUCUCACUGCACCAUCAGUAGUGCUCAAGCGGCUAGAGGCACCAACACCUACCUCCCUAUCCCGCUGCUGCCACAACCUCUCAUCAAUAAUAGAUGCCCUUCGAGCCACCUCAGUCUCUUGGUGCUCCCUCUUACUAACUCUUCCAACCUCUGUAUCGUCAGAAGCUCGACGGAGCGGAGGCGCUUCCCAGCAUGAUGGGAAGCAGCAGGAGGUGGCAUCCAAUCCUCGAAUAGAGCAUCGAACACCGUAUUAUCAACGGGUGUAGUUGGGGCUUACUCAGGCUCAGUCUCUGGUGAAUCUAGGAGGGUGUCUAGAUCAGCCUGGAGACUAGCUAACUCCGUCCGGAAAGCAGACAUAUCUGUAGUGAGGGCUGGUCGCUUUAUAUACGCAACUCAAAUGCAUCAAGGCGAUGGUGAAUGACCUGAACCAUUUGGUCCAUCAUCUGCUCAAUCUGCUACUCAACCCUAGUCGUGAACUCCUCAAUCGCACGCUGCAUUCACGACCUCACAAGCUGAAGCAUGGUAGCCAUCUGAGCCUCCAAUUUCUGGACUCGAGCUAAGGGCAUGGAAACAUACCUCGAAGAGGGGGUGGCUCUAGAGGAGCUAGGGGCCUGACUGGCUGCUGGAGAAUGGGAAGCCAGGGCAUCCUCAGUAGUGGCUGGAGGGACCGGCUCCUGACCCUGCAUCUGCUCCACAUAUGCUACCAAGUCUGCUCUCAAUGGAAACACCUCAACCUCCCGCUCUCUGCGUGGUGCCGCCAUAUUUCAUCUCGAAUCAAGCCUAUAUCCAGGGUCUUGGUCGCCUGGAUCAACUUGUCGCAAUGCUAAACCGUCACUCCAACAUCCCUGCACAGCUGAAAAAUAAGGCAUGGGAAAGGGUAAGUGGUGGUGGCUUUGAAGUCCCUCUCGUGUAUCUCCGCAAUGAUUAUGUGGGCAAAAUCCAUCUCAAACCCUACAGCUAAGACUGCAACCAUGGCUGUGCGGUCCCAAGUAAGAACAUUGUUUGCCUGCGUAUGAGACACUCUGUUUCACACCAACAGCCAGAAGAAUUUGGCCACAAAAGUAAAGGUUGCCUUCCUGAUGCCUACACUCGGUGUGCUGACCCACUCGACGCGCUCUCUGUCUAUAGCAAGGUGACGGGACAACCAGCAUAAUAAAUUCUCCCUCUACUAUGUAUUCCUCUGGAAUUCCCCGCUCCUAACGAUGUCCCAGCGAUAAUCAAACUCGGUCUUGUUGAUCGCUAGAGUGUUGCCCGAACCAUAGAGGAAUUUGCGGAUGGCGGUCUCGGAUAUAUCGACCGCAAACCCACGCACUAGUGUAGAUGUAAGAGGAGGCUGGGCGGCGGGCUUGUCCCAUUUGUCAAUAGAACCUCGAAGGGUGGAUGCAUAGGAAGUGUAGAACUCCCUGACGAUCUCCUAACUGAAGGACCUUAGGCUACGGGCCAUCCACUUACACCUGUGCUGCUGGAAGAGAGCUUGGAUGUCAAGCAUAGCAUGAAGGCUACCUGUGAGCACCCGGCGCUCCUCGGUAACCAAUCGAGCCAUCUUAUCUUUCUCAUUCAGCAUCUUGGAGUCGCGGUAUAUCUACCACUGGCCACUCAAGCACCAUCUUUUGGGCUAUCCAAGAACUCAUGCAAGAUCGGUACUCUGAGGCACUGGAAUGUCAUAUGCACUAUGAGCCUCAGAGGAUGAGGCGUUGGCACUAUUAGAACUGGAGCUGAAUGCGGAGUUGGAGCUAGAGUCAGAAUCAGAGGCGGACUCAGAACCAAUCGGUGAACCGAUCAGUGUAUCCUCCUCAUCAGACUGGGAGGCAGUGACUAUGUUGGGAAUCACCUGCCGUGCUUGAUUCUGUGUGGUACGUGGUGCAGUAGGGGAUAUCCUAGUAGUGGGUGGGACAUAUGCAGAGUCAGUCUCCGCAUCAAUAUCUUGAUCAAGUAGCCAAAGGGUUGGUGCCACUGAUUUGGACUUGCCCCUUGUGAAGAAGACCGGAGCUUUCCUGGGAGCCAUGGUACCUGUGGAGACUUAGUUAGUACCAAAAUAAACCAAUGACACACUCGAAAAGAUUUUAGAACAAAAACAAAAACUGAAAAAUUAUGUACAGUAGCAUCAGUGACCACCUACGGUGGGUACCUAUGGUCCGUGGCUCCCCUCCGUAGGUCAGAGAUCCCAAAAAGUUGGGUCUCUGAUGGGAACCACGGAUGUGCAAAAUGGUCUGUAGGUUGACCUACGGACCGUAGUCCACCUUUGUGGUUCCUCACUUAGAGGAUUUUUCAUGUGCAACAGACCCACGGACCCGACCCACGGUCCAUCGAUUUACCUACGGUCCGUGGACAGGGUCUCGUGGGUCAGAUCUGUGACAUAUAUCUGACAUGCCUCAUUUUUAGACCAUUUUUUCAACAAUUCAAACAAUUAACCUAAAUGUAAUCAUGCAUUUCAACACAAUUUAUGAUAGUUUGUCAUCCCUAGGGUUCUGAUUUCUCGCUAUUUAACUUUGGUAGCAUACAAAGCUAGGAACCCUAAGUCGAAACUACCAUUUAGACUAUUUACCCUGAGUUAUUUGAUUACAACGACAACACAAUCACAUUCUAUCGUCCCAAGGGUGUUUCUAACUAUAGUUUAUCAUGCAAUUUCAUACAAAAACAAUCCAAGGUCAAGACCCACUUCGUGACUUCAUGUAUUGAACAAUGAAUACCGAAAUUCAGAGUUAAGGUGAAGUCGUUUGUUUACCUUACAAGUAUUGGAAUUGGGUGAUUGUGUGAUGCAAUAGACUCCUUAGACCUUUUUUGAACCUUUGACACCGAACCCCGACCUUGAACUCUUUGGUGAAGGGAAAAUGUGAUGAAUUUUGGUAGAGAGGAAUGGAGUAAUAGGAGAGGAGAAGAUAAUUAUGGGAAAGGAGAGUGAUUUAGGGGAUUUAUGAGGGAGUUUUGGGAUUUGGAGGGGUUAGAAACGGUUAGGAGGGAGUUUGGGUAAUGGGGGGUGUAUUUGAAUUAAAGAGUUUUUAUUAAAAGGGGGUCUGGGUCGGGUCGACAAAACCCUAACUUUGGACCCACGAAACCCCGUCUACGGGCCGUGGGUCGACCUACGGACCAUGGGUCAGGUUCAUAGGUACCUCAACACUUAGAAAAAAAUUAGGCUACUUACCUGGGAUCUACGAACGCCGUUCACGAUCCGUGGGUGGAACCACAGACCAUCGAUGGGGUCCGUAGACCUCUGUAACAGACAAUUUCUGCAGAUUUGGCUUUCAUCCCUGCACAUUUAGCAACCGUUAGGACGUUCUUUUUACAUUUUCUGGACACUUUUUAGACAUGGACCCUAUGCUAUAUCUAGCCAACACUAAUACAAAAAUAAAAUGCCAAUCUAAUGAAAUAAAGAAAACCAAUUAAACAAAGAAAACUCCUAAAUCGAAAAGAAAAACCUAUAGUUGGCUAGAUUGUACAUCUUGGGUUGCCUCCCAAGCAACGCUCGAUUUAACGUCACGGUACGAUGCAGGCCUCUUGUUUACUCAAACUUCAUCAAGGUAGUAGGCCUCAACCACUUUUUGCACACUCUCUUCUUUCCCCAUGUAGACCUUGAUCCUUUGCCCGUUCACCUUGAACCUUGUUCCUUCCUUGUUCUCGAGCUCGACCGCUCCAUGUGGGAACACUUGAGUGACUAUGAAUGACACGGUCCACUUGGACUUGAGCUUGCCAAGAAACAAGCGCAACCUAGAAUUGAAUAGAAGCACCAGAUCACCCACAACAAAUUCACGCUUUUCAAUCUUUUGAUCAUGAUACUUCUUCAUCUUUUCCUUGUACAAGGCUGAACUUUCAUAAGCUUUUAGGCGAAACUCAUCAAGCUCAUUCACGUCAUUCACUUUUUGACUCGAUGCGGCUCCCCAAUCCAAAUUCAACUUCUUCAGUGCCCACAUAACCUUAUGCUCUAGCUCUACCGGCAAAUGGCAAGACUUCCCUUAUACAAGUUGGUAGGGGGACAUACCUAUAGGAGUCUUGAAUGCGGUGUGAUAGGCCCAUAGAGCAUCAUCAAGCCUCCUUGACCAAUCGGUUCUAUUUGCAUUCACAGUCUUAGCAAGGAUUUGCUUUAUUUCUCUGUUGGACACUUCAACUUGCCCACUAGACUGCGGAUGGUAAGGAGUGGCUACAUUGUGGCGGACUCCAUAUUUCUCAAGCAAACCCUUUGAACAACUUAUUACUUAAGUGGGAACCUCCAUCGUUGAUAAUUUCCCUAGGUGUACCAAAUUUGGAGAAGAUAUUCUUUUUCAAGAAUGUGGUGACACUUUUACCUUCAUUGUUUGGAAGCGCAAUUGAUUCCACCCAUUUCGACACAUAAUCAACCGCAAUAAGAAUAUACUUCAUCUCAUGUGAACUAAAAAAUGGACCCAUAAAAUCAAUGCCCAUACAUCAAACAACUUAAUCACCAAAAUUGAUUCAUGGGUAGUUCUUGCCUCUUUGAAAUUCCUCCUUCUCUUUGGCAACGAUCACAAGACUUGGCGAAAUCAUGAGCAUAUUGGUGGAUGGAAGACCAGUAAUACCCAGACUGCAAAAUCUUAUGCGCAGUCCGAAUACCACUAUGAUGCCCACCAACAGGCGAAGAAUUACACGCCUCUAGUAUAGUCAUCAUCUCAACCUCGGGCACACAACGAAGAAUAAUCCCAUCAGCACAAAUACAGAACAAAUAAGGAUCAUCCCAAUAGAACUUCUUUACAUCAUGCAUAAACUUUUUUCUUUGGUGAAAAGACAAAUCUGAUGGAAUCAGAUCACUUGCCAAGUAGUUAGCAAAGUCUACGAACCAAGGAAUCAGACCAUGAGAAGCUGCCAAUACCUGUUCAUCUGGAAAAGCAUCAUCAAUUUCAGCCCCAUCUCCUAGCUUAAGCAUAGCUUCUUCCUCUAAUCUGGACAAGUGAUCGGCAACUUGAUUUUCGGUUCCCUUUCUGUCUUUCACCUCAAAGUCAAACUCUUGCAGUAACAAGACCCAUCUAAUCAAACUCGGUUUCGCAUCCUUCUUAGCCAUCAAAUACCUCAAUGCAGAAUGGUCAGUAUGCAUUAUGACCUUAGUACCAAGCUAGUAGGAUCAAAAUUUCUCGAAUGCGAAAACUACCACAAGUAUUUCAUGUUCCAUCACUGUAUAGUUAUUUUGAGCCACAUUUAGAGCUUUGUUGGCAUAGUAAAUAGGAUGAAGAAUCUUCUCUCGCUUCUGUCAGAAAACCACACCAAGCGUCACUCCACUUGCAUCGCACAUUACCUCAAACAGUUGUCCCCAAUCCGGUGAAAUAAUGNNNNNNNNNNNNNNNNNNNNNNNNNNNNNNNNNNNNNNNNNNNNNNNNNNNNNNNNNNNNNNNNNNNNNNNNNNNNNNNNNNNNNNNNNNNNNNNNNNNNNNNNNNNNNNNNNNNNNNNNNNNNNNNNNNNNNNNNNNNNNNNNNNNNNNNNNNNNNNNNNNNNNNNNNNNNNNNNNNNNNNNNNNNNNNNNNNNNNNNNNNNNNNNNNNNNNNNNNNNNNNNNNNNNNNNNNNNNNNNNNNNNNNNNNNNNNNNNNNNNNNNNNNNNNNNNNNNNNNNNNNNNNNNNNNNNNNNNNNNNNNNNNNNNNNNNNNNNNNNNNNNNNNNNNNNNNNNNNNNNNNNNNNNNNNNNNNNNNNNNNNNNNNNNNNNNNNNNNNNNNNNNNNNNNNNNNNNNNNNNNNNNNNNNNNNNNNNNNNNNNNNNNNNNNNNNNNNNNNNNNNNNNNNNNNNNNNNNNNNNNNNNNNNNNNNNNNNNNNNNNNNNNNNNNNNNNNNNNNNNNNNNNNNNNNNNNNNNNNNNNNNNNNNNNNNNNNNNNNNNNNNNNNNNNNNNNNNNNNNNNNNNNNNNNNNNNNNNNNNNNNNNNNNNNNNNNNNNNNNNNNNNNNNNNNNNNNNNNNNNNNNNNNNNNNNNNNNNNNNNNNNNNNNNNNNNNNNNNNNNNNNNNNNNNNNNNNNNNNNNNNNNNNNNNNNNNNNNNNNNNNNNNNNNNNNNNNNNNNNNNNNNNNNNNNNNNNNNNNNNNNNNNNNNNNNNNNNNNNNNNNNNNNNNNNNNNNNNNNNNNNNNNNNNNNNNNNNNNNNNNNNNNNNNNNNNNNNNNNNNNNNNNNNNNNNNNNNNNNNNNNNNNNNNNNNNNNNNNNNNNNNNNNNNNNNNNNNNNNNNNNNNNNNNNNNNNNNNNNNNNNNNNNNNNNNNNNNNNNNNNNNNNNNNNNNNNNNNNNNNNNNNNNNNNNNNNNNNNNNNNNNNNNNNNNNNNNNNNNNNNNNNNNNNNNNNNNNNNNNNNNNNNNNNNNNNNNNNNNNNNNNNNNNNNNNNNNNNNNNNNNNNNNNNNNNNNNNNNNNNNNNNNNNNNNNNNNNNNNNNNNNNNNNNNNNNNNNNNNNNNNNNNNNNNNNNNNNNNNNNNNNNNNNNNNNNNNNNNNNNNNNNNNNNNNNNNNNNNNNNNNNNNNNNNNNNNNNNNNNNNNNNNNNNNNNNNNNNNNNNNNNNNNNNNNNNNNNNNNNNNNNNNNNNNNNNNNNNNNNNNNNNNNNNNNNNNNNNNNNNNNNNNNNNNNNNNNNNNNNNNNNNNNNNNNNNNNNNNNNNNNNNNNNNNNNNNNNNNNNNNNNNNNNNNNNNNNNNNNNNNNNNNNNNNNNNNNNNNNNNNNNNNNNNNNNNNNNNNNNNNNNNNNNNNNNNNNNNNNNNNNNNNNNNNNNNNNNNNNNNNNNNNNNNNNNNNNNNNNNNNNNNNNNNNNNNNNNNNNNNNNNNNNNNNNNNNNNNNNNNNNNNNNNNNNNNNNNNNNNNNNNNNNNNNNNNNNNNNNNNNNNNNNNNNNNNNNNNNNNNNNNNNNNNNNNNNNNNNNNNNNNNNNNNNNNNNNNNNNCUCUUAGAGGCUUGCAGACUAGUGUGUGCGGUGUUUAGAUACGUUAUGGCCAUGUUGGCUUAGUUUGUUGGUUUGCUGAAGCUUGUUAGUUGUGUGAUGCAUUGUCUUGUUAUAUACAUGCUUUCAGUUUUGGUAUAGAGAUCAUGGUGGCCUUGACGGCCCAAUCAGGACUUCUGUGCUAGCUGACAAUUUCUUUAUAUGAACUCUUAGGAGUAGUUGUUUCUUUUGUAGAUCUGUUGACAGGGGCCUUGCCGGCCAAGGGCUUAGCUUUAAGCCGAGAUAUACUUGUUUGUUUUCUUAAAUGCAUGUGACUGCCAUGCGCUAGUAGCAAAUGGUUCGGCAGGGUCGGCUUGGGCCUGAGUUUUGGCCUUAGGAGCCAGUUACGCUCCUUGAGUUUGGGGUGUGACAGGUUGCCCCCAAUCCGGUGAAAUAAUGAUUGGUGCGGAAACUAGCUUUUCCUUCAACUCUCCAAAUGCUCUUAGAAAAUCAUCAUCAAAAUCAAACUUACACUCCUUUUCGAGCAAUUUGCACAAUGGGUGUGCAAUUUUGGAGAAAUCCUUGAUAUACCUCCUAUAAAAGCAUGCAUGCCCAAGAAAACUUCUAACACCUUUAACAGAGAUAAGUGGUGGAAGCUUUUCUAUUACCUCUAAUUUCUCUUUAUGAACCUCAAUACCCUUCUCAGAAAUCCGAUGACCAAGCAUGAUCACCUCUUUCACCAUGAAGUGGCACUUUUCCCAAUUGAGCACAAGAUUGCACUCUUCACACCGUUUAAGCACCUCAGCCAAAUGAUCCAAACAACCAUCAAAUGAAUCACUUACCACUGAGAAAUCAUCCAUAAAUACCUCAAUAGUGUCCUCCACCAUAUCAGAAAAUAUCAACAUCAUGCAACGCUGGAAGGUCGCUGGAGCUUUACACAACCCAAAUGGCAUCUGUUUGAAGGCGAAAGUCCUAUAAGGGCAAGUGAAGAUGGUCUUCUCUUGGUCUUCCGGAGCUAUGGAGAUCUGAUUGUAGCCCGAAUAACCAUAAAAAAGCAAUACCAACCCUUACCAGUAAGGCGGUCCAACAUCUGAUCCAUGAACGACAUAGGGAAGUGGUCAUUUUCUGUCCAAGCAUUUAAUUUCCAAUUGUCCAUGCAUACUCUCCAUCCAGUAACUGGCUGCAUCAGAACAAGCUUGUUUUUCGCAUUAGGUACCACAGUAAUCCCACCUUUCUUGGGCACACUGAACAUGACGCACCUAACUACUAUCUGCAAUGGGAUAAAUGACUCCAGCAUCCAACCACUUGAUGAUUUCCUUUUUCACUACCUCUUGCAUAGACGGAUUUAGUCUUCUUUGGUACUCGAUACUAAGCUUGUGAUCUGGCAUGAGUUGGAUUUUAUCAGAACAAAUGCCAAGAGGAAUCCCACUAAUGUCCUCAAUAGUCCACCCAAUUGCCCUCUUGAACCUUUUCAACACAGAAACUAAUGCCUCAACUUGCACCUCACUCAAAUCAGCCACAAUGAUGACUGGUAAAGUACUAUCUCUCCCAAGAAUACAUACGUCAAUGUGAUGGUAGAGCCUUAAGCUCCAAUCUUGGAGCCUCUUCAAAAGACGGUUUUGUGGUGGAGAGUUGCAAUUCUCCAUAUCUAGCUCCAAUUUCGUUGGCUUGGAAUGGAAUUCGAACCUAUCAAGUGCGGUGACCAAUUCAUCAUAGUCUUCAAUACCAUCACCCUCAAAAUUUAUCAUUACCGCUGCCAGUGCAUCAGCACCCAACCUCUCCUCAAUAGACACAUCAAAACCUCACUCCACAAUAUGAUUCACCACACACAUUGAUUUGAGAUCGCUUUCCUGCUUCAUGGACCUACACAUAUUAAAAGUUACCUCUUCACUGUUCAAUUAGAACUUCAUCUGCUCCUUCUCCAUAUCGACCAAGGCGCGCCCAGUAGCAAGGAAUGAUGUCCCUAAAAUGACGGGGACAUCAAAAUCAACUUCACAAUCUAGAAUCACAAAAUCCGCUGGAAAAAUAAACAACUCCACUUUCACAAGUACAUCUUGGAGAACACCAAUGGGCCUCUUCACAGUUCUAUUGGCCAUGAGUAUUUGCAUCGCAGUUAGUUUUGAAUCCCCUAAACCCAACUUCUUAUAAAUAGACAAUGGCAUCAGAUUAAUACUAGCACCCAAAUCACACAACAUCUUAGUAAAACGCAACAACCCGAUGGUACAUGGAAUAGUGAAGGCACCAGGAUCCUCCUUCUUCUGCACAAGUAACCUCGUAGCAAUAGCACUACAAUGUUGCAAUCUAUCAUCAUCUUUAAAGCUCACGACCCUCUUCUUCGUCACCAAAUCUUUCAUAAAUUUUGCAUACCCAGGCAUUUGCUCCAAAGCCUCUAUCAACGGAACAUUGAUGGAAAGUUGUUUCAACAUAGUAAUAAACUGCGGUAUUUCCCUUCUUCAUUCUUCUUUACCAACCACUGUAGGAAUGGAGGUGGAGGUCUAGGCAUGGGGAAAACUUUUUGGGUUAUCUCCGCUUCUUUCUCUGUAGCAUUCUUGGACUCUCCAGUUACCUCAAUCUCAUUAUCAUCUUUCUCAACUACAAUUUCAACCUCAGACGGCAUAAGUGGAUCAAUGGUCUGCUUACCCCCUCAAGUAGUGACUGCCAUACAAUGCCCAUCAUUCUUCAGAUUCUGGAUGGUGUUGCUAGGAAGUGUGCCAGGCUGACGUGGGUUGACUGUAGUGGACAAUUGAUUCAUCUGCUGCUCAAGUUGCUUGAUCAACACUGCAUGGGCAUCAACUUUUUGACCGAUUCCAGACAAUUCGUUUCGCAUCUCCUUCACAUUCUCAUCAGCGGAGUCAACCUCUUCAUCAUCUUCUGCAUCAUAUCCUCAAUUCGUCAUAUACUACCCCCAGCUUCCCUAUUGCCAGAUUCCCAAUUUUGUGGAGGAACAUAAGGCCUAAUUUUAUCCUUUCUAUUACCAUAGUUGUUCCAGUUGUAGUUGUUGUCACGAUUGUAGUUCCCAUCCGGACAUAUUGACCCUCUCGAUUGUAGUUGCCAUAGUUUUGACCUUGGUUUCCUUUCCCUUGGUGUCAAUUAUUCGAGUUGGAACCUUGGGCAUUGGCUCGGAAACCCCCCGUCUGAUCAUUCACCAAGUAAGCAUCCUCCUCUUAAUAACAUUCCUCUUUCGGUGGUGGUGGAGUCCUAGUCAAUUAAUUCACCGCAUUUACCUUUUCUGGACCUCCAUUUACAUGCUUCAAUACCAACCUAGGUUUUGUCCUUAUCUGCGCCAUCUCCUUACAAAUGUCAUCGGCAGAUUGCCUAGGUGCAGCUUGAACUGCAAAUGUGCUCAUUCCCGUGUCAGACUUUUGAGUGCUCCAUGCUUUAUUGUUUCAGGAAAUCUUCUCCAGUUUCUCAGCGAUCUUCUCAAAAGUGCACUCACCAUAUGAUCCUCCAACGACAUUAUCAAGAACUGAAGCACUGCCUUACCAUUGUCAUCUUGACCUCUGUAGAAGUACUCCUUCAGUGAUUCAUCAUCAAUGCAGUGGUUCGGAACACUUCUGAUGAAUGCAGUGAACCUGUCCCACAACUACUCAAAGACUCUCCAGGUAGUGCCACGAAGUUGUUGAGUUUAUCUUUGUGGUUCAAUUUCUUGACAACGGAAAGUACUUGGCCAUGAACACCUUGUGCAAUUGAUCCCAUGUAUGAAUAGAGUUGUACGGAAGCUCAGAAAACCAUACAACAACAUCACCGGUCAAUGAUAGAGGGAAGACUCUCAACCCUAUGAUGUUCAUAUCCAACUUUGAUUGCCCCACACAACUCUUACAAACACUCCUCAACUUGGCCAUGUGCCCAUGCGGAUCUUCCGAAGCCAUACCAGAAAACAAACCCCUCGUUGUAAGCAUCUGCAUCAAACUACUAGUCACUACGAAUUUGUGCCCCAGAGGUAGUGGAGGGAGAAAAAUAGGUCCUUCAGAUUCAACAGUAUUAAACUCGACCCUGUAGUUAUCUUGCAGCCUUGGUUCUGGCAGAUUUUUCACCCUUAAUGCAUCUCCAAGUAAGUUUUCGCCAUGAACCUACGCAUUUUCCUUAACAACCCCAGGAGGCUGCAACUAAACUCCAUCACCUAGAUUCCCACCGAUUAGAUUGAGUUGGACCCCUUGAUUAUUCAUCCUUCUCAAAGUUAUGUUCAACUCUGGAUCGUAUGGGGUCAAUGGUUCGCCUCGACUCCGUGUACUUGGCAUACAAUAGAGUAGAAACCUGUAAAAAACAAAAAACAAAAAUAAAAGUAAAAUUAGGAAAUAAUUGACUAAAGUUCAAUAAUGUAGUUAAACUUAAUCUAAAAGUCAAAAUUUGAUACGCUCAAAUUACACCUCCCUAAAGAAGCAUAAGCGAUCGUUAUCAAGUAAAGAACCCAACUUAUAGGUUGGGGUCGAUCCCACGAGGAACAUGAUUUAGACUUAACUUUAACUUACGAAUAUAUUCGUUUAGUCAACGUAUUUCCGAGACAAGUAAGUAAAGGGGCGGGGGGUUUGCAAAACAAAUAACUGAUUGAUUGUUAAGUAACAAGUGAGCAAGAUUCAAACUUUUGUUGUUAUCAAUGAUAGAGAGAAACUAGGGUGUAUGUGUUCCCUAUAAGCUAUUAACUCGAUAAUCUUAAUAAUAGUAAUCCCUUCCUAGUGUAUUACAUGCAAAGUGGUAAGUUAUGUAUCCCUAAGUGUUUGGUCCGCCAAAUAGGGAAUUUCACCCCGUACCUUGGUCCGGCUACUUGUGUAUAGUUUACUAACCCUUACCUUUACCUCGGAUUAGAUAUCACAUCAAUGUAUGGCUUAGUUUUCACCCUCACUCCAACUAACAUUAGACUAUUAGAUAGUAUCACACUAAAUCUUUGAUAAUUCUUUUCUUAUUAACUACCUCUUUGGUCCGGCAAGUAGCAACAAAGUGAGUUCUAACGCGUGCACUCGUUGAAAAGAUUUCUAAGCGAAAGAAUUACCAAUACAUGCAUCAACACUAGUCAAGAAUUACUUAGUUAUUAUUCAUACGUUGUUAAUUGCUCAUGGUUCCCACAACCGUAGUUGUGGAUUUAGCUACUCAUGCUUGAAAGAACACAAUUUAUAUUUGUAAAAGAAGAAUUCAUGAACUAACGUAUUGAGUAGAAGAAAGCCGUAAUCUCCAAUUGAAAUUCAAAGAAAGAAUAUUGAUAAACCGAAAUUAGGAAAUCAAAUUGCUAAAGUUUGCAAGUUAAUUCCCAAGAUAAUACCAAGAACUAAAAUUAUAUUAUGGUGUCUAACCCCCAAAAAUGAGGCUUACAUGCCCUAUUUAUAGAAAAACAUGUCCUAAAAAAGCAAAUGAAAUAAGGAAAUAAAAUUUUCUGGACGCGACUUCAAUCGAUGAUACUGACCUACGAACCGUGGACUGACCUACGGUCCGUAGGUCCCUUCAGUGGCUCAAAACUUAGACAAUUUCUCAGAAGUUUUGGAACCUUCAAAUCCCAUUUGCAAUCGAUGGACGUGCAGUACGGACCGUGGGUCGAUCCACGGUCUGUGGGUCCUCUUCCAUGGUUCUACACUUUGAACUUUCCAUCAUGUACUGGAACUUCAAUUCUCAGUGAUCAUUGACGGACGUGCAGGACAUCCCGUGGGUCAACAUAUGGUCCGUCACUCGCAUCCUUAGUUCCACACUUGGUCAAACUUUCCUACCCACUAAUGAAUUAUGACUGGACCUACGGUCCGUAGGUCACUUCCGUGGGUGGCAACUUCUGCAGAAUUUCAGUUGUAUCUCUCUCAACCUCAUCCAAGCCUAUUUCCUACAAUUUUAGCACAAUAAACAUUAGUUCUAAUACAAAAUGGCCCUAGACACACAAAACUUUAAGUGAAAUGUAUUAAAAAUACUGUAAACUCACCUUACAUCAAAGAUGCCAUGGUUUAUUUUAAGAAUUGUUCUAUUAGAUCUAAAUAUAUAUUGUAGCGAUUAUAAGCGUUGCAACAGAUAAUCUAGUGCCACAGUUGAAUAAGUGUUUCCAAAUAAGUGUUGCAGUAGGUCGAAUUUCUAGUAGUGACAACACAUUACAAAUAUGACCUUAAAAGUUUUCACUAAAAUAUUAUAUUCCCUCCAACAUUUUUAACUCUCCCUCCCAUUUUAUUAAGCAAAAAACAUAUUUCAUAAAACAUUAAAAUUUACGUUUCCCCCAAAUCAAAACUAAAGAACACGCUGAAUCCCCCAAAUCGAGCUAAGAGCUUUUCUCUCCGUCAAAUUUUCUCGUUGAAUCACUGAAGAACACGCUGAAUCACUGAAGAACUUCUCGCUGAAUCACUGAAGGUUUAUCAGGUAAUUCAUAAAACAUUAAGACUUUCUUUUCCCCCAAAUCAUAAAAACUACCCGUCAAUUUGAAGAACACGAUUUUCUCUCCAAGCUAAGUCUGAAGAACACGAUUUCCGUCAAACAUUCUCACAGAUUUCACGAUUUCUUGUUGAAGAGCUUAAGGUUACGCCUCACAGAUGAACACGCCUUACUAAAAUGCUUCACUUGAGGUGAUGAUGUCUUAAAGCUUCAUCACAUUGAAAGUAUUUUGUUGGAAUAGGGUUUAUCAGGUAAGAAAUUGUAUCUUUGAAAGUCAAAAUUUUAGCUUUAGGGUUUUGAUAUUUCUGUGUCUGCAGAUACAAUUUUUGUUAUUUUUUGGAAGUCUAACUCGUAGUUGUAUUACCCACAUACGUUAUGAUAUUCGCCUGGACAGUUCUGAAUGAGGCAUGCCUUACUCAGAAUAAUAUGAUGAGAAGGAAAAUUCAACUAUCCAUUAGAUGUAAUAUGUGUAAAAAGAAAAGCUGAAAAUGCUACCCAUCAUUUUCUACAUUGUGAAGUUGCCUUUGAUCUUUGGAGCAUGUUUAUGUGCAUUUCUGGCCUCAAAUGGGUCACUCCUAAAUCAUUAAGGAAAGCAUAUAGGUCUGGGUGUUUGUGGGAUGUUGAUAAAUCCAUCAAGAAUAUCUGGAAAAUAAUACUUGUUUGCAUUUUUUUGUAGCAUAUGGUUGAAAGAAAUAUGAGGUGUUUUGAUGGGGUUUCAACUCCCAUAGAUUCUUUAAAGGCCAAAUGUAUUUCUAGUUUAUUAAUCACUAACACCAUGUAUCAUCAUCAAUAUUUCAAUAUUUCUCUAAGUAAAAUAGCAACUACAAGUGUUAUUUUAUUCCUAUAACCAUAGUUUUUCCAUUUUGGAACUUUCUCCUGUUUUAUUCGAAAUCAGUUGAUGUCAUCCAGACAACUGAAUUCUAACAUUUGUCAAUAAUAAAAAAGGGUAAGUCAUAUUGAGUUGAGUUUCUAGCUCAAAUUAUGUACCAAGGUUGUAGUAAAAAAGGAUGUCCAUGUCCUUUCUAGACCUCUUUUGAUAUAUGUAUUUCAGUAUGUGUUCAUUCUAAUCACUGUAGCAUUUUUACAAGUAACUUAUGUGUAGAUAUCUUAUCUUUUAUUAUGAGUUACUGCUUAAAUUUGGUUUGCUGGAUGUUCUACUACUUUCCGGUUUCAGUGUUUGAAUUGUUUCUUUUAGAUAUUAUGCAGAAAGAUUCUAAUUUUAUAUAUAUAUUUUUUUUAUUUUAUAUUUUAUUUUAACUUUUAAUAUUCCACAUAGCCAUAAUUAUUUGGGUGCAUUGCCUGAUCUAAUGUAUUUUAUUGCCUUGGUGCACCAGAGAAUUGAUGAAGUGUAAGGUAAUGACAUUUAAUUCCAUAUUAAGACAUGCAACAAAUGUCCUCUUUUGUUGUAGGGUUAGCUGCAUGGUAGCUGUUAAUGACAUUGGUGCUUCAGCAAUCAGCUAUCAUUUUCUUGGGUUACCUAUUAAAGGUUAUUAUAUGUUAUCCUGAUAAUAAUCCUGCCCUUCUUACCCAUAUGUAUUACAGCUCUAAUUCCUAUUGCUCAGUUUUGAUGCAUGUAAAAUGUAUACCUUUAUUUUAUUUACUUCUUAAUUUUUCCUUUUCCCCCAAACCUGGAUGAGUUAAUGAUGAUUGAUUUGGAAGUUUAUGUCUAAUCUUUUUAAAGCUUAGGCGAGAUUCUACCUCCAACAUUUAUUUUGUUGACGUUCAUACGAUGGUGCCUUUUAGAAGAUUACGUCCAAAUAAUUCGUGUAACCAGAGCUGGUGGAAAGAUGAUGCUUCUAACAUACUGAAAAUCUUAUCCCACCAUAAAUUCAUGGAUUUUUGUAUGUUUCCCAUGUUGUAUUGAAUUUUUACUCUUAGCUUACAACCAAAAGGUUUUUUAAAGCUUAUAAAAACUUACCUCUCUUUUUUUCACAAGCUAGUAAGCUGGAUUUAAAUCUAGCUUUUUUUCUUUUGCAUCCUCACAGGGAUGACAGUUGGACACCAGUUGGUUUGUGUUGUAAACACCAACUCAAAUAUCUUUUUCCCUUCUAGUUUUUGAAAGUUGGAUUGUUAUGCCCUCUAUUUGAAACUAAGGAGCUGCUCUACAAUUUUUCAUUAAACUCUUUUCAUAAGUCAAAAAGUCCAUUACUAUUUAGAAUUUGGAGAAAAAUAAUGGUCACCUUUUAAUAAAUCUAAAGUUAUUAUAAGAAGAAAACUUCUUAAUUUCCUAGUUGCUAAUUUAUCUAGUUUUAGCACUUGAAAUUAUUUUUUAAUCUUUCUUGAUAUCUAUUGCGAUAUAAAGUUUUUGAGUAUUUGCAUAUAUUUUUUGGUCUUUGGAGGCUACACACUUUACAUCCCUGCAACUCAUAUAUGCACAAUUGGUUGCACUCAAGAAUCUAUUUGCAUUUGAUGUUUAUAUACAUGUUCCUUGCAUGAUGUGCUACAUUCAGUCUUAUUCCAAAAUCAAGUGCUUUGUUUCUGUCCAUCUUGAGUGGUCUAAAUUGAUUAUUAAGAUUAGAAUGCUCGUCACAUAAACUAAGUGCAGGUACACCUGAACAACUAAAACAACAACCAAGGCAAUAACAUUAGUUUUUGAGUUUGAUGUUCAUGAUCAAUUGAUCAUGUUGUUCAUUACUUAGUUGGUUGUAAAGGUGGAUCUGUUUAGGCAUGUACGUAUAUACUGUAGUGAAAAUAUUACCAUUAUGAUAGUUAUUUUUACCAUUUUAGUAGUUUAUCUAUUACUGAAUAUAUACAGUCAUUUUUAAAAAAAUCUCUUUUAUAAGUCUAGUCGCAAAUCUUUCAGGGUGCAAAUGGUGCAACACGAGAUGAGUUAUUGUUACAAAUUGAUGUAACUGUUAUGUUCAUGCAGGUAAAAGCACUUUGUGGUAGAUGGAUCCGUAUCACAUGGACAUAAAGGUCCAUCUUAUGGAGGCUUAUUUGUUAGACGGUCAUUAUUUUUUAUUAAUACGUACUAGAAUGGACACACAUUAGCUAAAUUUGAAUUGCUUACAGAUGGGCUAUAUGCAUACUUGUAUCUAUGGGGCUGAGAUAUACAUUUGAAUCGACAUAUAUGCAUACAUAAAUACAUUUCAUUAUGAUUUCUUUUGACUACUUUUGUGCACUCAUUGCUAAUUUGUUAGGUCUAACUAACAUUAUUAUAUUAUUCACAGCUCAAUCAGUCGUGUUUUCUCAGCCAUUACUAUAAUAUCAUAAAUUAUGUGGCUUGGGAGUUGGAAGGGGGUGAUGGUGCCAAGGGUAAACUUAAAUUCAUGCUCAAGAUUUUGUAUAAAUGUUAUGGCUUAUUUUCAUGUAGGGCAGCAAAGAUGGGCUUUGUCUACUCAAAAAGCUGGAAGCUGUAAGAAAGAAAAUGAAGUGUGUUAAUGAAUUAUAUGUGAUAGACGGUAGUGAUCACUCCUUCAAAAUGUGCAAAAAGCACUUGCAGUUGAUUGAGUCCACCCAAGAGGAAGCUGAAAAGCUUGUUGUUCAUGCUAUUGCAACUUUUGUUUCUAAUCAUGUGAAAGAGGGGUGAAGUACUUAAUGGUAAGAAACGGAUGAUAGUUUAAAAUAUUUUGUCCAGUUUGCGCAAAGAUGGUUCGUGAAUGCUUCCUUGAAGUAUACAGGUUUUAGAUCUGUUCCCUUUCACAGUUUGUGGAUGUCCAGGUUUUAGAUCAAUUUUGUGAAAUACUCCGUCUGUUUCAAUUUGUUUGUUUAUUUUCCUCUUUUUUCAUGCUUUCUUUGGUGCGACUGCUAUCCUGAAUUACAGGAUCCCUAUUUGGAUUUUUCUCCUUCUGCCCCCCCCCCCCCCGUUCUUUGGCCUAAAAUGGACUUAGAGUUGGCAUUGAUGUAUUGAUACAUUCCUAUGUGCGAUUGUGACUCUAUUUUGCGAGAAUUAGGUGUGUCAUCUUCCCUUUUUUCCACAUUGAGAUUGUUGUGAGGUGUUCUGCCAGGUGAGGGGAAGAAUCCCCAAUGUCUUAGCUUUGAGGAGUCUUGAUUUUGGUGCUUGGUUUGUGUUAUGUUCUUUUUCAUAUGGUGUGUAAAUAUUUAUUUGUAAGAGUUGCUGCAAUCUGCUAUAAUACAGUGAUGCCUGAACUCAACAAAUUUGCAGUCUGCAAUCUGGAACUGCUGCAAUCUGCUAUAAUACAGUGUUGCCUGAACUCAACAAAUCCAUUUUGUGCAUUAUGUAAUUAAAUGGUUUAGGUUACUCAUGGAAUGAUACAUUGCAGGAGCAGAAAGCCUCUUUAAAUCCUUAAACAUAUCAUUUUUAUCUACUUUUGACAAGUUUACAUUUUGACUAUCAUAAGAAUAUUGAUAAAGUCUUCUCUCUUAUUUAUCUUGUACCUUUGCUUAUUGGUGACUGCUUCUAAGUCAGAUUCUCCCGGAACACUUUAUAUUGUACUUGAUGCAUUCAUCUGAUUGGCUGUGUAUCGUAUGAGACCUUGUUAUACUGAGGUUCAAGAAAGUUUAUUGAACAUUUGCAGGUUGUAGAAUUCAUGUUCUUCCUAUGUGCUAGUCUCAUUGAUAUCAUUGUGACUAAGUUUGUCAUGUUCCAUUCUAAUGGAAAUGGUCUAUAUUUGAUUAAUCGAACUUCUAAUUACUCUUCAUUUGUUAUCUAAUUGUGGUAUAUGAGUGUUAUUUUUGCUAAGAUCAUAAUCUUGCUCAACUUAUCUUUGUCAAUGAAACUGAAGUUUCAUUAUGUUACCUCCUUUGAGUUGCUAUGUUUCAUCCUUUGAGUUGAUGUGAGGUGUUCUGCCAGGCGAGGGGAAGAAUCCCCAAUGUCUUAGCUUUGAGGAGUCUUGAUUUUGGUGCUUAGUUUGUGUAAAUAUUUAUUUGUAAGAGCUGAUGCAAUCUGCUAUAUAUAGUGCUGCCUGAACUCAACAAACACUACUAAAAAACUGUUAAAAAACGACGGAAGUAAAAGCUACGGACGGCGUCGCUCCAAAAAGCGACGCCAUUAGCCAUACUGUCUAUCGCUUUUUAAUUAAAAUAAUAUUUUUUUUAAAAGCGACGGACGGCAUCGCUUAGUCCGUCGCUUUUUUCGCGGAUUUUUGCUAAUUAAUUAUUUUAUAUAGAUAGCGACGCAGUCCGUCACUUUUUAUAAAAAAUAAUUAUUUAUUAAUUUAAAAAAAUCCACGCCGUCCGUCGCUUUUUAUUAAUUUGAAUUAUUUAAUUAUUUUUUAAAUUAGCGACGGAUAGCAUCUUNNNNNNNNNNNNNNNNNNNNNNNNNNNNNNNNNNNNNNNNNNNNNNNNNNNNNNNNNNNNNNNNNNNNNNNNNNNNNNNNNNNNNNNNNNNNNNNNNNNNNNNNNNNNNNNNNNNNNNNNNNNNNNNNNNNNNNNNNNNNNNNNNNNNNNNNNNNNNNNNNNNNNNNNNNNNNNNNNNNNNNNNNNNNNNNNNNNNNNNNNNNNNNNNNNNNNNNNNNNNNNNNNNNNNNNNNNNNNNNNNNNNNNNNNNNNNNNNNNNNNNNNNNNNNNNNNNNNNNNNNNNNNNNNNNNNNNNNNNNNNNNNNNNNNNNNNNNNNNNNNNNNNNNNNNNNNNNNNNNNNNNNNNNNNNNNNNNNNNNNNNNNNNNNNNNNNNNNNNNNNNNNNNNNNNNNNNNNNNNNNNNNNNNNNNNNNNNNNNNNNNNNNNNNNNNNNNNNUAUGUAUGUAUGUAUGUAUGUAUGUAUGUAUGUAUGUAUGUAUGUAUGUAUGUAUGUAUGUAUGUAUGUAUGUAUGUAUGUAUGUAUGUAUGUAUGUAUGUAUGUAUGUAUGUAUGUAUGUAUGUAUGUAUGUAUGUAUGUAUGUAUGUAUGUAUGUAUGUAUGUAUGUAUGUAUGUAUGUAUGUAUGUAUGUAUGUAUGUAUGUAUGUAUGUAUGUAUGUAUGUAUGUAUGUAUGUAUGUAUGUAUGUAUGUAUGUAUGUAUGUAUGUAUGUAUGUAUGUAUGUAUGUAUGUAUGUAUGUAUGUAUGUAUGUAUGUAUGUAUGUAUGUAUGUAUGUAUGUAUGUAUGUAUGUAUGUAUGUAUGUAUGUAUGUAUGUAUGUAUGUAUGUAUGUAUGUAUGUAUGUAUGUAUGUAUGUAUGUAUGUAUGUAUGUAUGUAUGUAUGUAUGUAUGUAUGUAUGUAUGUAUGUAUGUAUGUAUGUAUGUAUGUAUGUAUGUAUGUAUGUAUGUAUGUAUGUAUGUAUGUAUGUAUGUAUGUAUGUAUGUAUGUAUGUAUGUAUGUAUGUAUGUAUGUAUGUAUGUAUGUAUGUAUGUAUGUGUAUGUAAUUUUAAUUAAUAAAAUCAACCUCAAAAGGUGAGUUUAUAUUAAAAUAAAUUAAUAAAUACCGACCUCUUUAGGUCGGUAUAUUUAAAUAAUUAUUUUAUUUAGAUAAUAUCGACUUCACGAUGUCGGUAUGUUGACACCCAAUUUUGACCAACCUAUAACCGUUCGGAAGUGUUAUUCAGUUAAAUACGUAUUUUUUUAAAACUAUUUUGAGUUUAAAUUUUUAAUCAAUUUUGUCUAAAAAUUAUAUAUUUUAGUAUGCAUGCUUUAUAAAAUUAUAGUAAAUAUUAUUAAAAAUAUUUUUAAAAUUAUAAGUAAAACUCGAAAAAAUUAUUUUAUUCAAAUGUUUUAAAAUUUAAGUGAUUUUUAUUAUAUAAAAUGUUAUAAUAUUUGUAGUAUUUUAAUUGGAUAGCAUAUCUUUAAAUUUUCUCGAAAUCAUUUAAUUUUUAGCCCAUUUUGAUCUAAUCCCUUUCAAUUCUAGCUUUUUCCUUAUCCAAUUCAUUGCAAUUCUAGUCACCUCAAUCCAAUUUCGUUUUUCAAUUAUAGCCUCUUAUAUCAAUUUUAGUUGCAAUUUUAGCCAUUCAUUCAUUGCAAUUAUAACACUUGUCCAAAUCUUGAAAUAUUAGUUUAAAUCCGAACCGUCCAUCCUUUAAGUGAAUCCUAGAUCAAAUCCUAGCCGCUCAUCUUAACUAAUCCAAUGGCUCAGAUUAAAUCUACCUAACCUUCCUAUUUUUUUACCUAUAAAAAAGACCAAACCCUUUUUUGAAAUCUCAUUCUUUUCUUCUCUCUCUAGCAGCGCCGCAACCCCCUCCAUCAGUGAGAACUAGCGAGAGCUCCACCAUCGCCGUUGAGCUCUCCCUCUCGCUCCUCCCGUCGCCCUCCUCCCUUAGCUUUCCUCUUCUCAUCUCUUCUCUCCUUGGUCCCUCCCGUCUCUUCUCUCCGGCGAGAAUGGUGAGACAAAUGGCUGCCUCCCUCUCGUCUCUCCAAUCAGCGAAAUUUCACUGCUCUCUCUCUCCCUCAACUGCUCCGGCCAGCGAGCUCCAAGCAAUCAGCAUCAGCAGCCGGCGAGGAGAGCAAUAACAUCUCCGGCCAACAACAACCAGUGCGAGAGCCAGCUCCGACGAGCUACCGGCGAAACUGACCCCGACCUCGACCCACCACCCUUCUCCUUUAAUUCAAGGUUAGGGUUUCAUAAUAUUAUUUUAAUUUCUUUCAAUUUGAGUAUUGAAUCUGUUAAUUAGUGUAUUGAAUUCGUUUUUUAUUGAUUGUUAGUUUGAUUGAUUGUUAGUUAGUAAGUGAAUGAUUUAGGGUUUUUGAUUGUUAGUUUGAAUUAGGGAUUAUUUGAUUGUUAGUUUGUGCUUGUUGAUUGUGAAUUGAAAAUUUUAAUGUUGGGGUUAGUUUGAAUUAGGGUAUCUUAGGAUUUGUUUGAAAUUCAAUAUUUCUUGAGUUAAUUAGUUUGAUUUUGGAAUUGUAAGAUUAGAUUUAAUUAGGGUAUUUAAGGAGUUGUUUGAAUUUAGGAUUUUAGCACUAGUUAGAUUUUGGGAUUUUAGGUAGUUUGAAUUUGUGAUUUUAAGACUAGUUUGAAUUUUGAAUUUAGGACUAGUUUGAAUUAUUAUUGAGAUUUUAGGACUACUAAUAGUUUGAAUUUGGAGUUUUAGCAAUAUAGUUUUAUUUUUGAAUUCUAGGAGUACUUUCAAUUUGUGAUUUUAAGACUAGUUUGAAUUUGGAAUUUAGGACUAAUAGUUUGAAUUAUAUUUGAUAUUUUAGGACUAAUUAAUAGUUUGAAGUUGGGACACUAGCUAGCUAGUUUGAAUUUAGAAUUUUAGGGAUUUGAAUUACAACUUAAUUAGAACUUAUAAUUAAUUAUAACUUGAAUUUACUAUAAAUUGAACUUAAUUAGGAAUAUGAACUUGAAAUUAUAACUUGAACUUGGAACUAAUUAGCUUGAAUAUAUAACUAAUUAAGUUUAGAAAUUAGAUAUGAACUUGAAUUGAAACUUGAACUUAUUAAAACUUGAGAAUAUAUAUAUAUUAAAUAAGUUAAAUUAAUUAAUGUGGUUUAGUUGGUGGAUUUAGUGUUGUAUUAAGUCAAAACUAAACUAGUUAAAGUUGUUAAGUUGUUUAAAUAAGUUAAAUUAAUUAAUGUGGUUUAGUUGGUGGAUUUAGUGUUGUAUUAAGUCAAAACUAAACUAGUUAAAGUUGUUAAGUUGUUUAAAUAAGUUAAAUUAAUUAAUGUGGUUUAGUUGGUGGAUUUAGUGUUGUAUUAAGUGAAAGCUAAACUAGUUAAAGUUGUUAAGUUGUUUAAAUAAGUUAAAUUAAUUAAUGUGGUUUAGUUGGUGGAUUUAGUGUUGUAUUAAGUCAAAACUAAAUUUGUUAAAGUUGUUAAGUUGUUUAAAUAAGUUAAAUUAAUUAAUGUGGUUUAGUUGGUGGAUUUAGUGUUGUAUUAAGUCAAAACUAAAUUUGUUAAAGUUGUUAAGUUGUUUAAAUAAGUUAAAUUAAUUAAUGUGGUUUAGUUGGUGGAUUUAGUGUUGUAUUAAGUCAAAACUAAAUUUGUUAAAGUUGUUAAGUUGUUUAAAUAAGUUAAAUUAAUUAAUGUGGUUUAGUUGGUGGAUUUAGUGUUGUAUUAAGUCAAAACUAAAUUUGUUAAAGUUGUUAAGUUGUUUAAAUAAGUUAAAUUAAUUAAUGUGGUUUAGUUGGUGGAUUUAGUGUUGUAUUAAGUCAAAACUAAAUUUGUUAAAGUUGUUAAGUUGUUUAAAUAAGUUAAAUUAAUUAAUGUGGUUUAGUUGGUGGAUUUAGUGUUGUAUUAAGUCAAAACUAAAUUUGUUAAAGUUGUUAAGUUGUUUAAAUAAGUUAAAUUAAUUAAUGUGGUUUAGUUGGUGGAUUUAGUGUUGUAUUAAGUCAAAACUAAAUUUGUUAAAGUUGUUAAGUUGUUUAAAUAAGUUAAAUUAAUUAAUGUGGUUUAGUUGGUGGAUUUAGUGUUGUAUUAAGUCAAAACUAAACUAGUUAAAGUUGUUAAGUUGUUUAAAUAAGUUAAAUUAAUUAAUGUGGUUUAGUUGGUGGAUUUAGUGUUGUAUUAAGUCAAAACUAAACUAGUUAAAGUUGUUAAGUUGUUUAAAUAAGUUAAAUUAAUUAAUGUGGUUUAGUUGGUGGAUUUAGUGUUGUAUUAAGUCAAAACUAAACUAGUUAAAGUUGUUAAGUUGUUUAAAUAAGUUAAAUUAAUUAAUGUGGUUUAGUUGGUGGAUUUAGUGUUGUAUUAAGUCAAAACUAAACUAGUUAAAGUUGUUAAGUUGUUUAAAUAAGUUAAAUUAAUUAAUGUGGUUUAGUUGGUGGAUUUAGUGUUGUAUUAAGUCAAAACUAAACUAGUUAAAGUUGUUAAGUUGUUUAAAUAAGUUAAAUUAAUUAAUGUGGUUUAGUUGGUGGAUUUAGUGUUGUAUUAAGUCAAAACUAAACUAGUUAAAGUUGUUAAGUUGUUUAAAUAAGUUAAAUUAAUUAAUGUGGUUUAGUUGGUGGAUUUAGUGUUGUAUUAAGUCAAAACUAAACUAGUUAAAGUUGUUAAGUUGUUUAAAUAAGUUAAAUUAAUUAAUGUGGUUUAGUUGGUGGAUUUAGUGUUGUAUUAAGUCAAAACUAAACUAGUUCAAGAGUUAAAGUUGUUUAAAUAAGUUAAAUUAAUUAAUGUGGUUUAGUUGGUGGAUUUAGUGUUGUAUUAAGUCAAAACUAAACUAGUUAAAGUUGUUAAGUUGUUUAAAUAAGUUAAAUUAAUUAAUGUGGUUUAGUUGGUGGAUUUAGUGUUGUAUUAAGUCAAAACUAAACUAGUUAAAGUUGUUAAGUUGUUUAAAUAAGUUAAAUUAAUUAAUGUGGUUUAGUUGGUGGAUUUAGUGUUGUAUUAAGUCAAAACUAAACUAGUUAAAGUUGUUAAGUUGUUUAAAUAAGUUAAAUUAAUUAAUGUGGUUUAGUUGGUGGAUUUAGUGUUGUAUUAAGUCAAAACUAAACUAGUUAAAGUUGUUAAGUUGUUUAAAUAAGUUAAAUUAAUUAAUGUGGUUUAGUUGGUGGAUUUAGUGUUGUAUUAAGUCAAAACUAAACUAGUUAAAGUUGUUAAGUUGUUUAAAUAAGUUAAAUUAAUUAAUGUGGUUUAGUUGGUGGAUUUAGUGUUGUAUUAAGUCAAAACUAAACUAGUUAAAGUUGUUAAGUUGUUUAAAUAAGUUAAAUUAAUUAAUGUGGUUUAGUUGGUGGAUUUAGUGUUGUAUUAAGUCAAAACUAAACUAGUUAAAGUUGUUAAGUUGUUUAAAUAAGUUAAAUUAAUUAAUGUGGUUUAGUUGGUGGAUUUAGUGUUGUAUUAAGUCAAAACUAAACUAGUUAAAGUUGUUAAGUUGUUUAAAUAAGUUAAAUUAAUUAAUGUGGUUUAGUUGGUGGAUUUAGUGUUGUAUUAAGUCAAAACUAAACUAGUUAAAGUUGUUAAGUUGUUUAAAUAAGUUAAAUUAAUUAAUGUGGUUUAGUUGGUGGAUUUAGUGUUGUAUUAAGUCAAAACUAAACUAGUUAAAGUUGUUAAGUUGUUUAAAUAAGUUAAAUUAAUUAAUGUGGUUUAGUUGGUGGAUUUAGUGUUGUAUUAAGUCAAAACUAAACUAGUUAAAGUUGUUAAGUUGUUUAAAUAAGUUAAAUUAAUUAAUGUGGUUUAGUUGGUGGAUUUAGUGUUGUAUUAAGUCAAAACUAAACUAGUUCAAGAGUUAAAGUUGUUUAAAUAGGUUAAAUUAAUUAAUGUGGUUUAGUUGGUGGAUUUAGUGUUGUAUUAAGUGAAAGCUAAACUAGUUAAAGUUGUUAAGUUGUUUAAAUAAGUUAAAAUAAAUAUUGUGGUUUAGUUGGUGGAUUUAGUUGUUGUAUUUAGUCAAAACUAAACUAGUUAAAGUUGUUAAGUUGUUUAAAUAAGUUAAAAUAAAUAUUGUGGUUUAGUUGGUGGAUUUAGUUGUUGUAUUUAGUCAAAACUAAACUAGUUAAAGUUGUUAAGUUGUUUAAAUAAGUUAAAAUAAAUAUUGUGGUUUAGUUGGUGGAUUUAGUUGUUGUAUUUAGUCAAAACUAAACUAGUUAAAGUUGUUAAGUUGUUUAAAUAAGUUAAAUUAAUUAAUGUGGUUUAGUUGGUGGAUUUAGUUGUUGUAUUUAGUCAAAACUAAACUAGUUAAAGUUGUUAAGUUGUUUACUUUCUCUAAAUUAAAUAAUGUGGUUUUGUUGAUGGAUUUAGUUGUUGGAAUUAAUUCAAAACUAAACUAGUUCAAGUUAAAAAGUUGUUAAGUUGUUUAAAUAAGCUAAAAUAAAUAAUGUGGUUUAGUUGGUGGAUUUAGUUGUUUUAUUAAGUCAAAACUAAACUAGAUAAAGUUGUUAUGUUGUUUAAAUAAGUUAAAAUAAAUAAUGUGAUUUAGUUGGUGGAUUUAGUUGUUGGAAUUAAGUCAAUACUAAACUAGUUAAAGUUAUGAAGUUGUUAAGUUGUUUAAAUACGUUAAAUUAAAUAAUGUGGAUUUGUUGAUGGAUUUAGUUGUUGGGAUUAUUUCAAAACUAAACUAGUUCAAGUUAAAAUGUUGUUAAGUUGUUUAAAUAAGUUAAAAUAAAUAAUGUGGGUUAGUUAGUGAAUUUAGUUGUUGGAAUUAAGUCAAAACUAAACUAGUUAAAGUGAAAAAGUUGUUAAGUUGUUUGAAUAAGUUAAAAUAAAUGUUGUGGGUUAGUUAGUGAAUUUAGUUGUUGGAAUUAAGUCAAAACUAAACUAGUUAAAGUUGUUAAGUUGUUUAAAUAAGUUAAAUUAAUUAAUGUGGUUUAGUUGGUGGAUUUAGUGUUGUAUUAAGUCAAAACUAAACUAGUUAAAGAGUUAAAGUUGUUUAAAUAAGUUAAAUUAAUUAAUGUGGUUUAGUUGGUGGAUUUAGUGUUGUAUUAAGUCAAAACUAAACUAGUUAAAGAGUUAAAGUUGUUUAAAUAAGUUAAAUUAAUUAAUGUGGUUUAGUUGGUGGAUUUAGUGUUGUAUUAAGUCAAAACUAAACUAGUUAAAGAGUUAAAGUUGUUUAAAUAAGUUAAAUUAAUUAAUGUGGUUUAGUUGGUGGAUUUAGUGUUGUAUUAAGUCAAAACUAAACUAGUUAAAGAGUUAAAGUUGUUUAAAUAAGUUAAAUUAAUUAAUGUGGUUUAGUUGGUGGAUUUAGUGUUGUAUUAAGUCAAAACUAAACUAGUUAAAGAGUUAAAGUUGUUUAAAUAAGUUAAAUUAAUUAAUGUGGUUUAGUUGGUGGAUUUAGUGUUGUAUUUUACUUUCAAAAAUAUUGCAGGAAAAGCGACGGACAGCGUGGUUUUGUCCAUCACUUUUCUGGUUUUUUUUUUUUUUAAAUCCCAGAAAAGCGACGGACAGCGUGGUAUUGUCCAUCGCUUUUUUGGGUUUUAUUUUUUUUAAAAUCCCAAAAAAGUGACGGACAUCGUGAUUUUUUCCGUCGCUUUUUUGGGUUUUAUUUUUUUUUAAAUCUCAGAAAAGCGACGGAUAGCAUGGUUUUGUCAGUCGCUUUUCAGGGAUUUUCAAAAAUAAAAUUUCCAGAAAAGCGACGAACUGCGUCACUUUUUAGAAAUAAAAAAAAUUAAAAUUAAAAUAAAGCGACAGAGUCCGUCGCUUUUGUUAAAAAAAAAUAGUCAAAAAGCUAUGUUGUCCGUCGCUUUUUGAAAAGCGUCGGGGUAAAAAGCGAUGGAGGAGACUACGUCGCUUUUGACCAAAAAUGCGACGCAGUUCGUCGUUUUUUGAUAUUUUUUUAGUAGUGAAAUCUUCAGUCUGCAAUCUGCAAUCUGCAACUGCUACAAUCGAUUUUAUACAGUGCCCAACAGAACUUCUUGCCUCCAAUCUGCAAUCUGCAAUCUGCUGCACUCAAACAAAACUUCUUGCCUCUUCUAUAAAUGAAUGUUGUACAUGGUUUGUUUUGAUUUUUAAUUUCAUUUUAAAUGUGUAGGGAAAUGGAGGUGAUCAAAUUGAAGGUCGCCACAAGUCAAUUUGAUCUCAUUGAAGUUGAUAAUGAAGAAUUUUUGAACUAUUGUAAAAGUUUGAAUACAUUAUAUUUAGAUUUUUGUGAAAUAUAUUCAUUGCUAGAAUAUAUUGAACUAUUGUAAGAGUACUUUUUGAACUAUUGUGUACACAUAUUUAGAAUAUUGCUUUAUAAGUAUCUGUAUGUACAGAAGACAUACUAUCUUUUAGAGUUUAUUGCAAAUUUAUAUAUUUGAAUUACUUAUUAGCUAAUUUAAUGCUUGAGAUUAUUUAUUGCAAAAUAAUAUUGGUGUUUUUUAAUUAGAAAUUGUGGCAUAUAAAUAUUUUAUAGCCAAAAUAAUAUUACCACACUUAAAAAUGUAGCUAUAGGACUGUAAAUUGUGGUAUGAAUUGAUAUGCUCAAAUUACACCUCCAUAAAGAACUAUAAGCGAUCGUUAUCAAGUAUGUUAUCAUACAUUAGAUAGAAAAGGCCACACUUUAAAAUCGUGGACAAUAAGGAAGCAAAGGCAACGCUUGAAAGUUGAAAGUGUAGUUCUAUAAGAUAGAAAUGUUGCUAUAUGAGGUAUUACAAAAUGUGGCCUUUUUGCCUUUUAGGCUACGCUUUUAAGCAUAGAUAAUAAGACAACACUUGAAAAGUGUCGCCUAAACUCUAAGGUUACGCUUCUUUCGGCCACCCCUGGAAAAGCGUGGCUUAAAGUCCAAAAGUGUGGCCUUUUAUCAAAGGCCACACUUUUUCAUAGUUUAGGCCACACUUUUCUAGGGUGAUUGUAGACAUAAAAUGUUGUAAUGUCUUAUUUUACUUUAAUUUUAUAACAAAAUAAUAAUUUUGCAAACUCUCUUAACUUAUUGUUUUAAUUUUUUUUUUGUCACGUUCCACCCUUUGAUUCUUGCAAAAAGCAACUGUUACAAAAUAUAUUUAAAAAUUUAAAAUAGUGAGAACAAAUACUCUUAAUUAAUAAGUCGACUAAAGACAAGUGUGUUGCGUGUAUGGUCCAUACAGAUGAUAAUGAAAGAAAAACUAAUGGACGAAAAAAUAGCCGAAAUCGCUGAAGAAAACUAAGGAUGUACUCCCUCCGUUUAUUUUUACGUGUCAACUAUUUUAAAAAUAUAUUUUUAUUUUUAAUAUAUUAAUUUUUAAUUUUUCAUAUCUUUAGCAUUUAUUACUUAUUUUAUAAAAAAAAAUUCAAGAUCUAAAAUUAAAUGUCAAUAUUAUUAUGUGUAAAAUACUAAUUGAAUCAUUGUAUUUAAAGCUACAUGUAAAAUUUAAAGUGGCGAGUAAAUAUAGACAUAGGAAAAUUAGUUAUCGAUAAAAAAUGUUUAUGAUUUAGAUAAAAAUUGAUCUGAAUAAAAAAAUAAAACCAAACCAAUUAAAUAAAUCUAUUUUUAUUUGAUUUGGUUUGAUUUUACAUUUUAAAAAAUCAAUAAUAUUUCGUUCGAUUUUGAUUUUGUUUAAAAAAAACAGAAGAAAUAAUCGAAUCAAAUUGGAAAUUUAUAAACAAUUUUUUAAAAUAAUUAAAUACGUAAUUACAUUUUAUAAAUAAUUCUUUAAGCGAAGCAUUCUCAUUUUUUAAAAAAAAUAAGGUAUGAUAAUACUUCUUUUAUUUCUGUAGCAAUAUUGAUAGCUUAUGCUUUAUCCAGAAAUUUAUGUUAUUUUAUACAUUGAAUUAAGAAAAAAUAUAAGGAGAAAGUUAAACAUAAUUGAAAUUUUGAUAUAAAAUUUAUAAGAUUCAAAAUGACACGAUGACAAUUUUUUUUUGUUUUGAAUAGAUUGUUAUCUUUUUUGAAUGAAUCAUUUUUGUUUAUUUUUAUGUAAACCAAAUCGAAUUGAAACAAAUAACAACCAAAUCAAUAAAUAAAUAUUAUAUUUACUUUGAAUAGUUUCAAAUCUAAUUAAAUUAAUAAUCCAUCCAAAUCCAACCGUAAACCUUCUUAAAGUCAAAUUAGUCUCAUUUAUCACGUGGUAACACGUAGCUAUUUGUUUGUGGGGACGCCAUCUUCUUUUUGUACAUUCUCCUUUUUCAAGUGUGCGUUUCGUGUUCAAAGCUCAACUAAUUAAAAACGUGGCUUUGCAAUACCCAAAAAACUCAUCUUGUAUAUAUUCAUUCAAACUCUCCUAUCUUCUUUCAUUAAUUCUCUCUCUUAUAUAUCUCAACUGAAUAAAUAAAUCUUCUAUUAUCACUAAAAAAAACAACUUGUUUGUUGAUUAUUCUUUUCUCCCAAUUAAUUGAAGAAAAUGAGAAGAAAUUGUAAUUUGGAGCUCACUCUUAUGCCUCCUUCUAUUUUAGAUAGUUUUUCUUCUAAGAAUUGUACAAUGUAAGUCAUUCUCCCUCUUUUAUACUUCUUGUAAUAAGUAAUGUUUAUAAGGUAUUUGAUUAUAUGUUUUUAUUCACUAUUAGGGAGGAUCAACAAUUGGAGAAUAAGCAAUCACAACAGCUAACUAUAUUUUACAAUGGAAAAUUUGUGGUUUCCGAUGCUACUGAGCUUUAGGUACAUAAGAUAGUCAACCAAUUAAGCUUUUAAGAUUCUCAUCAAGUAUAUGAAUUUAGUUUAAAAGAUGCAUUUUUUAUUGAUUAUAAUAAUUAAUUUAAUGAGUUAUUUUGUUAUGCAGGCUAAAGCUAUAAUAUAUCUUGCAAGUAGAGGAAUGAAGGAGAAAACAAACAAGAUGUCAGAGCCAUCAUCACCAUUAUUACAACCUCAAACUGGUUUAUUCAUGAAGCGAUCUCUACAAGGAUUUCUACAGAAACGAAAAAUAGAGUUCAAGCAACUUCGCCAUAUCACCACUAGCUGCGACUGAUGAACUUCGUAUUAGUUUUAGUUCCAUUUGUUCAUACAUUUUUAUUUUUGGUGUUACUAAUAUGAUAGAUUUUUCCUAUAAGUGAAUUUAGCAAGUGUAUCACUUAUUUUACUGAUUUGUCAAUACAAAAAAUUCUCAAUUUCUCUCAUUAC